UAUUAUAUUUCAAAUUUUUAUAUGGUAUCAGAGCAGAAGGUCCUGAGUUCAAGUCAUACCAGACCCGUAGCAUAAUUAAUUUCCUUCCUUUUAAUUCAAAUUCACGUCAUGGGUCUUGCAAAAAGUUUCAAGCCCAGACGUGAAGGGGAGUGUUAAAUAUAAAAUUAUAUAAACACCGUUUUCUAACAGCUUAAGUUUUUAGAGUACAACGGUUGUAAUUCUCCUGAAUAUAGUCAUAAACUUAUAGCUACAAAAUUUAACCUAUUAAAUAAUUAAAUCUUUUAUUAUUAUUUAUUAAAAGUAAUCUUAAUUUAUUAUAAAUAAAGUAAUUCUAACCCAUUAUAAAAAAAAGUAGAAUUUAGGUUUUACUAUUUAAUAAUUUUUUUAAAAAAGGUUGAGUGUGGUGGAAAUCGAGUUCUACAUUUUAAAGAAAAAAGUCGAGAGUAAAUAAAGUGAAUGUCUAAUGUAACUUAAGUUACACUAUAUUUUUAAUGCACACCAAAAUAAAUACAGAAAAUAUUGGAACUUAAGUUCCACCAAAACAAACAGCCCCUUACUGGCUAAGUAUUCCACGUGGCAUUAUUCAACUGGAUGUAUAAAUUCGUUUCUCAUGUUCCCCCCUAUUUUGGAAAAAAUUCUAGAAUACGCCGGGUAUACUAGUGACAUGGCGUCACAAAUCAAUCAAAUAAAUUCUUUUAAAAAUAUAUGUCCCAUCAUGAUGGUAAAAAAAUAUUUUUGUUGUACUUUUGUUUGAAAAGAAAAAAUAUGAUUGGCUUGUUAUUGAUGACGUGGUGCAAGCGUGACAGUGUAGAACUUCUCCUAUUUUGGAUCCACUACAAAAAAAUAUUAGAAUCACUCUCUUUUUAUCCCCUUUUUUUAAAUAUUAAACAUUAGUUUUCUUAGAAAAUAUUUUAGAGGCAAAAAAAUAAUAAUAUAAUUCUAAAUUUUUACUUUUUGUUAUUAAAUACAUUACUUGGAUGCAAGAUGGCAAGCAAUACACCAUUUUCUUCUAUAUUAUUUUCAGUAGAAAUUUUAUUCAUAAAGAUAAUAAUAAUAAUAAACCCACUAUAAUACCAAAAAAAAAAAGAAUUUAGAUUGCUGAUACGUGGGUAAAUCUAUAUGCACAUAGGACUUGGUGCAAGAUGCUACAGCUUAAUACACAGUAGGUUGUAGAAUUUUUUUAAAAUCCUAUGCACAUAAAGCUUCUGCGCACGAAAUGAUCUCACUUUUUCUUUUUUUGAGAGAUAAAUAAUAUGUUAUCCGUUUUGUCUAUUUCAUUUAGAAAUAAACUUAGCUAAAAAUGUGUGAGAUCCCUGGUGUUCAGCAGUGAAGGCUUGUCGACAGCUCUAGAAAGUGUCGGGACAAGUCUGAGUCGCGUUGGCGCGAAAUAAACGCAAAACGGACUAGCUCUCGGCGACGCGAGAGCAGCAUUUAGCAAGAAAAUAUGCAAAUUACUGUUUUCUGCUUGAUGUACCGGUACAGCCAUUAAGGUGUACCGAUACACUUCAUCAGGCUGCGCGCGGGUUGCUCUCGGGUUAGCCUUUGUACCGAUACUCCGACCCGUGUACCGGUACGCCUGGGUAGGUAGAGGGGCAUUUCAGUCUUUUCGAGCCUCGUUUGUGUCACCAGCUCUCCCUCUCUCUAUUUAGCCUUGUGUGGAGAGAGAGAGAGAGUUCCUCUGCUUCUUAUUCCUUUCUCUCACUCUCAAACCGAUUGUAGGCUAGGGAGGAGUUUGGGUGGAGCUUUUNACAUCAAGCUCGGCUCAUUUAAUUUCGAGUCGAGCUCGAGCGAGCCGAAUAUCGAGCCGAACACGAGUCGAACGCGAGCCGGCUCGCUCGUUUGCCAGCCCUAGCUGCCGUUACAUCGCAAGGAGGCCGGGCGAACGUGGAUCUUCGCCGUUAUUGACGUCGCACUGGUGCUAGUCGCUGUCAAGGUGGGUGUUCCGUUGAAUUGCUUCUUCUUUUCCGAGCAUCAUCAAAUUCGAGCUAAGUGCUGAUUUGUAGAUUUUCCAGCGUCGACCGUUGGCGUUUCGGCCCGUUCUCGACGUAGGAGCGUCAGAUUUCGACGAGACUUGGUUCGUUGGAUUCAGGACUUAGAGAGGAAUCCACGAAGCCCUUAUUUGCUGGAUUUGGUGAAGGUUAUCUUGGUCGGAAUUAUAAUCUCCUCUGCUGCUGCGUUUCGGACAGAAUUAAUGGAUUUCAGUGUUUUACCUUGAUGUAGCUUUGUUGCUGGAUUUGUGGGCGUUUCAGUUGAUCCGGCAGGUUAUCCCGCAGCUGAGGGAGUUCAUCGCUGUUAGGGAUUAGCUCUCGGGGUGGGUUACAUUGGUUUAUUCCUAAGUAUCGUAUUAGUCGACAUGUAUGAUUUUCAGUUUUGUAUAUCAUGUGUAGCUCAAUUUCGUCGAUUAUAUCUUGAUGAAAUCCGAUUUGAGAACAUGGUUAGUAAUCCCUAAAUAUACAUGUUGGACUCGGAUUUGACUUAGGAGAAAACGCGAUAACGAUCGGCACAUGUAAACUACCUGAUUUAGCUCUAGGGGCCGUUGUAUUAUUUUAUACUGUUGCAGUAUCCUCAGAGUGAGUAUUUCAGGUAGUUUAGUUUUCAGUUAUGCUCGUGCUGGGAUGCCGAGUGUAUUUUUACAGUAGCAUUCAGACUGUUCCGGACUGUUAGGUGCCGUCGGGGUUGACGGUGGACCCGUAUCGCCUGUUUGGCGUCAGAUUGUGCCGAGGGCACGUUACCUGUUGGUUGUUAGAUCAGUUUGAGUCGGUUACUGAAUUUUGACUUUCGAGAGCCUGAUUGAGCUCGACAGAGAUACGCUGCAUACUCGGUUGGGUAGCUCCCACGAGUGCCACUCCGGAGACGGGCGCUGUGCUUUCGCGUUGGUGUCGCUCAUACCGUUGGACUUGCUCUCCACGGACUAGUAGUGUGGAGGUAGCUGGAUAGUCACAACUGGACAGGGACGGGUUUGUUCACAGUCCCAGGGACGGGUAUGCUUACAGUCCCGAUUGGAUUGGGUCAGAUUUGACAUUUCCUACAGUUGAUUAGUGUAGAGCAUGAUAGUGUAGUGAUCCAUAGCGGUAGAUUUCAUUCCUGCAUUUACUACUAUCUUUACUCCCUUCUGUAGACUUAGUGGGUGGACCGAUGUCGUUCAGGGCGGCACCCACUGAGGACUACCUAUUUUUACAGUAGUUCUCACGCUCUGUUUUACCCUCCUGUUUUUGCAGAGCCAUCGUCUUCGGCUGCUGCUGUUGCCGACCAGAAUCGAGGUAAGGGCGUCGCGAGUUAGAGCCCUACCAGACGUGCUGAACUAGAGGUACCCCUACUGCAAGUAGAUAUUUAUUUUGAGUUCAUGUACAUAGUAUACUUAACUCGCCAGUGCGAGUAGCUCUGUGUUUUUGGUAUUAGACUAUGUAUAUGGAACUCCGUUUGUUUAGCUUUUGUUUACUCUAGCAGCUCUAUACUACUGUUUGUAGUAUUGUAUGAUUUACAGGUACAGCUAUCGCUUCGUAUACAAGGAAAAUUUCUUUGUAUACGGCGGAUUUGUCGGCGUGCCCGGAAAACGUGUAAUCCUAGGCGUGACAAAAUGUGUGAAUCAACUAAGAUUCGAAUUUGGGACCUCAGAUACCAACCACCAAACCCUUUACCACUUGCUCUAAGAACAGUCGAUAUAAUCUCAUUUAAUUAUCCAACAUGUUUGAGUAGUUGGUUUAAUUUCCACUCUAAAAUAUGUGACGAAGUGCCAACUUUAAUUAAUUUGGUGUGCAACCAUGCAAGUUUGUGGGCUUCAUGUGAAGUGUGUAAAUAGAUGAGUAUCGCCAUCAAUUAGUGAUGUGUUAACAUCAAGGCAGAGUGAAAUUUAAUGUCUAAUUAAAAAGAAAAGGAGUGCAUUAAAAUAGGCAUUUGAUUAAUAGUUAUUCACUUUGUAGCAAUCUCACUCAAAAAAUGAGUAUCAUAUAUAAAAAGUACCCCAAAGCCAUAAAUAGCAUUCAAUUUGCGGUUGAUUAGUAUGGGAUCGUUCGUUGUGAAAUCUGCAAUCACCAUCUAUAAUGUUAAGAUAAAUAAUGGAUUGUUUUUCACUAGAUCGAUCUAUUGGCUAACAGAUUGUCCGAUGUGAGACCUGCUUGCCAUCCGUAAUGUUAAGAUUAAUUAAUACUGGAUUGUUUUCCAUUUGAUCGUGUUGCGGGCCUAAAGUCCCGACCCUUGACCCGGUCAGAUAUCCUCCUCGGGAAGAGCGUCGGGAUGAUGAGCGGCCGCGGAUGAUGACCCUCGAAGUUUGUGCCCACAGAGGAUCAAGCGAUUAGGCCGAUGAGGGAUCAAAUCAGCCGGGUUCGAAAACCUUCAUAGUAAAUUCGCUUCGGCAGGAUGAGCCGAAUGAACAGGGAAAACCUAUAUCUCGGCUGAGAGAUGAGCCGAAUGGCUAGAACAACAUGAGAUCUGAUCGGCAGGAAGAGCCGAAAUGACUUUCUAUUGAACAGCGAGCGGAAAGAGUACAGGAACAAGGGAGUGAUGCCCGUAGGGCAGACAGACUCCGAGUAUGAGGACAGGGGAGUGAUGCCUGUAGGGCAGAUAGACUCCGAGUAUGCUAAAUUACAGGAACUACUCCUAAGGAAAGUGGUAAAUGCGAGAAUAGAAAGAUGCAGGAAAAUAAAGGUGGUCUUUUGUGCGCAGGGGCGAAGACCCCUUUUCAGGAUAUUACAAGCCUAUUUAUAGAUUUGCCCUUGCGUUCAGUUGUUGUUAUUUGGGCGAUGCAAUCUUUUUCGGUUUGAGGGCCACCUAUCGUCGAUUGAACCGCUCUUUAACCGUUGCGUGUUGCUUUCAUUUUGAACGAUUGCGGUUUUAUUUUCUGCGCUCUUAUUGUACUCCGGGAUAGCCAGCGUUAUCGAAUGGAAUGGAUGUGACUCGGUUGUGCAGUGUCCGGCCGGGAUUGCAACAAUCGGGUAUCUGCUUAUAAGAUCACCAUUAUACGGAAUACAUCAUCGGCUUUAUCCAACUAGCACCAAAUACUUUAAGCUCGUUUUAUUAUCAAUUUUUCAGGUCUCGGUCUGUUAUAUUUUCCAUAGAUAUGUGCGCAUUAGGCUACAAACUUUUUUCGUUUACUUUAGAUCUGAUGGUGAUUUAGCUCUCAGUUUAUGGCUGUUUAUUUUGAUUACACCGUAUGAUCUAAACACUUCGACCAAUAUUCGUUGGAUUCUAUCAGUCUGGCUUCGAUAAUGUUUAGACGCUAUUUGUUUUUUGUUUUUAAAAGAUAGGUACACUAACGCUCGUUUAUUUUCAUUAAGAAUAACUUGCUAGAAAUGGUGAAUCAAUAGGAUUGAACUUGACGCUCAGAUAUCAAACACCAAAUUUUCCACUUCUUUAGGGACUAGGCAUCAUAUGAUUUUCCGACUAUUAAUAUUACUAUAUUCCGGUUUCUUUAUUUUUCAUCUAAUUUUUUUUUGUGGAUGUAGAUAUUGGGGUUAUUGGGCAGUUCAAAGCAUUCGGGGGUGGUUUGCUACUUUAAAAAAAAGCGUUUGGGCUGAAAAGUGAUUUUUUUGGACUAAUACGGUUCGGCACUCAUUUUAAAUCUGAAUUCUUUCAGAAUCAGAAAUUGAUUUUAAGGCCCAGAUAGAAGCAGAAAAAAUGUGCUUCUUUGAAUCUGAUUUUGAUUUGGUUGAUUAACUUCAAUUUUUUUUUUUUUUUAUUUCAAUGUUUAAAAUGUAAAUUUAUUAAAUUUUAAAGUUUUAGUCUCGAAUUUCAUUUGUCAAAUUAAUUUUAAAAUUUAUUUUUCAUUUUAAAUUUUAAUUUAUAUUUUAAAUUUUACUUUUAAAUAUUUUCAAAAUUUUAAUUUCAAGUUAAAUUUAAUAUAAUUUUUUAUUUUCAAUUAUUAUUUCAUUUUAAUUUAAAUGUUUAAUUUUUAUUUAAUUUUAAAUAUUAAAUUUAAAUUUAAAAUUUAAAUAUUUCAUUUUAAAUUUUAAAUUUAAAUGAUUCACAUUUAAUUUUAAAAUUUAAAAAUAUUCAAAUUUUAAAUUGUUACAAUUUAACUAUUCAAAUUUACAUUUAAUUUUAUUUCGUAUUUUUAAAUUUGAGAAUGGUUAUUUUAAUGUUACUUUAAAAUUAAUUUAAAUAAAAUUAUAAAAUUUCAAUAUAUUUAUAAUAUAAAAUAUUUAUUAUUUUAUAUUUAAUUUAUAUAUUAUAUUAUUUUACAUUAACUUUUAAUUUUAAAUUUAUUUAAAAUUUAGAUUUUAAAUUUAAAUGAUGGUAGUCUGUAUUAACCUAUGUAAUAUGAUGAACGUGCCCCGAUGCUGCUGCCAUGAUGCUUAUCAUUAGGGUUUGCAAACCUUCGCUUCUUAAUUAAUUUGAUUUUUUUUUCUCUCUCUCCUAGGAACGAUGUGGGCAGUUGGAAGUUCGGAGGGAGUUUCAUCGGCGACGUGGUGCGGAAAGCUGUAUCGGCAGCGCACGGUUUGUGUCGGAUUGUGCUGUGAGGAGCUUGGGCGGGCGUUGGGAUUCCGUGAGUCUCGACUUGCGGCGACUUUGAGGAUCGUAAUCGGGUGGUGCUGCUGUGAAUGUGCGGAUUACUUCGGUUUAUUUCAUUCGAGCUAGGGUGCUGUAUUGCAGGAUCUUGUCAUCUGACUGUUUAGUAUUUCAGCCGGUUUCCGCGGGUAGGAGAUCGGAUUUCAACGGAUUUGUUCGUUGGAACCGAGAGUUCGAGAGGAUCCUACGAUCACUAUACUUCGGCCCGAUUGAGAGUUUGCUCUGUCGAAAAUCCCUUUUUAAUUGCGUUUGCUGUUUGCCGGCGAUUAUGAGAUGAUGUUUCGCAGGUGUCCAGCGUCGACGUUUCGUAUUCAUGGCCCUGUUCUUGUAGAGCGUCGGAAUUCAAGCGAACUUGACAUUGGCAUUCGUGACUUUGUUGAGGCGAAGCUUCGGACCCCUUGGUUUUCUGAAUUGGAUUAGUGUUAGCGUUGUCGAUAUUUAAUGCUUUCUUUCGCUUGCUGGUUUUCUGGCAAUUCAGGUGUGAUUUAGACUGAUAAUUGAGGCUGACUUCUUCGCCAUGCAGGAGAACGGGGACUUCGACGGACCAGCGAGGGUAUUUUGGGAUCCGGGCACUUAUUUCGCUUUCUAGGAGUUGUUUGAGAGGUGGUACAUCGGUUUUUCUUCUAAGUAUAUCUCGUCGGAUGUAUUAAUUGUUCGCCUUUGGAGUACUCUAUGCUAUGCUCGAUUCAUUGAAUUUAUUGUAGAUAUGCAAUCUGAUUUGGGAGAUUGUGGAAUAUAUUGUAGUUUUCAUGAUUGAUUGGAAUUGAAUCUAGGGAGAAACGCUUGGUUUUGGGACUGGUUCAUGUUUAAUGCUGGAUUUAGUUCUAGGGAGCCGUUAUUAAAUUGUACUUGUGGCGUAUUUCGGCGGAGUAUCCAGGUGUUUAGCAUACAUUUACCGUUGGCUGUGCGCCGAGUUGGAUUUUUCAGAUGUUUCAGGUUACUUUCGGAUGGUGUGCAUGUAGUUUGCGGGGACGAUGGCUCUUAUUUGGCGUUCAGAUUGGUCGAGGACAUUACCUAUUGGAUGGUUUAGACCAGUUUGAGUCGCGUUUACAUCUGGACUUUGCUUUUCAGGCCUGUUUUUUUGAGGGGUCGACGAGAUACGCUGCUAAUCGGUUGGUAGCCACGAUGCCAUCGGACGUCAGUUGUGCUUUUGCGUUGUGUCGUAUGCGUUAGAUUGUCUCCACGGACAGUUAGUGUGGAUGAGAGCGAUAGUCGCAGACGCCGGCGGAGGGGUAUUCACAGUCCGAUUUGGAUGGGUCAGUUUGACAUUUCGUCAGUCGGUAGUUAAAGCAUAUGUUGUAGUGAUUGAUAGCCGGUAGUAUGUAUUUCCUGCUUCUUCUUCCUUGCUCUUCUUUGUAGAAUUAGUGGGUGACCGAUGUUUUGGCGACGUUACCAUUGAGGAUAUUCGUUUUUCAGUAGUCUCUCACGCCAGUUGUUACUUUGUUUUUGUAGAGUCGCAGUGCGGGGGGUGCUGCCUUCCGCGCAGGAUCGAGCGAAGGGUUUACGAGCUAAGCCCUACCGCAGUCGAGCUAUGGGUUUCCUCUGCGGUAGUUGUUGUUUUGGAGUUUUGUACUAGUUAGUUUAAAUCGCCAUGGUAGUUGUUAUUAUUGGAUAUAAGUAUGUAUAUAAAUCAGUUAUUUAGUUUUUCUGUAGCAGUUCUUGCUACUGGUUUGUAAGUAUGUUUCUUUCGAUUUUGACGCUCGUAUACAGAGGGAAAUUCCUUGUUCGGCGGAUUUGUAGGUGCCCGCGGGACAGAUUAUCCGCUAGCGUGACAUUUAAUUCUAAUUUAAUUUUGAAAUUUUAUUUAAAUUUUAAAUUUUUAUAUUUUAACUUUUAUAUUUAUAAAAUUCAUAUAUACUAUAUAUAUAUUUAAUUAUUUAUAUUUUUAAUAUUAAUUUUUCUAAUUAUUUUACAAUUUUAAAAUUUUAAAAAUUUUAAUUAUUUUUUAAAUUAAAAUAUCAAAUUUUAAAUUUUGUACAAUUUUGAAAUUUAAAAAUUUUAAUUUUAAUUCAAAUUUAAAUUUAGAUUUUAAAUUAUUUUAAAAUAAAAUUAAAUAAAAAUAUUAAUUUAUGCAAACAUCAAAAAAAAAAUUUGCCAAACAGCUUUUCAAAAUCACUUCAGAAAAAUCACUUUUAUCUAAACUCUGCCAAACGCUCUACAACUUUUAACCAAAAUCACUUCUUCAAACUAAAAUCACUUUUUCAGAAACUAUGCCAAACAGGCCCUUCCUCUGUUUCAAGAGGUUCUUAUAGUCGACGUCCAUCUCUAAAAGACAUCAAACAAUCAUUAUCUUAAAAGAUUUAAGCUGACGGAGGAUGAUAUUUUUUGAUUUUUUAGGAGGGUGACGGAGCUCGAAUUUAACAUUUUCAUCUCUAAUAUUAUAUAAAAAUAAAAUAAUUUGACAUAAUCAUUUGUUUCUAAAAAUUUAAGGUAUUGGACAAUAAUACAACAAUAUUUUUGGUACUUAUUUCUUUUUUAAUUAAAGUUCCAAGUAAGAUCUUCUCUUAAGAGAUUAUGGACAUACACUUUUACAAAGAAAUGAAAUUUAUAUAAUACUACCACUUAUGAAAGAAAUAAAAAUACACACCCAGUGUGUAAGUGUACCCACUGUACACACACAUAACAUUUAAUAGUUUAUAAACAUAAACUAACUAAUUAAAUUUGCCUGAAAACAUUAUAAAUAUAAUUAAAUAUAUACUAAAUGAAAAACUAAUUAAUUAGACUACAUAAAUAGUAAAUAAAAAAAAUCAUACUUUAGUUUUAAUUAGAAAAUUGAAUUCACAAUAAACAAUAGUAUGUAUUUUUAGUUUUAAUUAAUUUUUAAUUAAGAUCAACAUAAACUAGCAGACAUAAAAGAAUUUAUAAGCUAAAUCAUAAACAAUUAUGAGCCAUUUUUUUCGUAAGAAACAAAUUUUCUAACAUAAAAUAACACCGCAUAAUUAUUUAUAAUUAGCUAUGUAUAAAUAGGAGCAAAUUAAUUAGUCUAAAACUCUUAUUCAAUCUGAUUAAGAGUAUUUUUUAUAUAAUUAUUAAUUUAUAGUGGAAAAGAUAUUGACAAUUUUGAAGGAGUAUCUAUGAUAUUUAUAAUCUUUGAGGGGCAAAUUUGAAAGCACGCUCUUUAUUUUUUUUAAAAAAAAUUGUAUUUUAAAAUUAUAAUUUUUAAUAGAUAUAAUUUUAAGUUUAUUAAUAUAUAAAUGAGUUAAAUUUUGAUUUCAAAAUUUUUAUAACAGAACUUUAAGAAUGUGGUGUACGAGAUAUACCUUAUACACUAGGUUCUCGCAAUAAUUUUUCGGGUCCAUCUCUGUAGCUAGGGAAAAAUAAAAAAUAAAAAAACUGACUCUCAAUCUACAUACCCCCUUUUCUUUUGUUAUUAUUGUUUAGUUUUCAAGAAUUUUUUUUUUUUUUUUUAAAAAGCAUCCAAAUUUUUAUUGAUUUUUGAAUUUGGAAGGUAUAUUUGUAUUCUUAAGCAUCUAAUCUAGAGACUACUUUGGAAAAUAUAACUUUCUUUUAGGCUAAAUUAUAAAAAACCCUCUCUGUAAUAACUCGCUUUUUUACUUUUCCGCCUGACAUUUAAAAAUCUAUACUUUGCCCCCUUGUAAAAUAAAAAAGGUUCACAAGGGGGUUAUGGUGUGUAAAAUGACCAUUUUGCCCCUCGCCUUUUUCGUCUUCUUCCUCACCUUUUUCAGCCGCCUCUUCGAUCGGCCGCGGUUCCCACCUCAAUCGGCCGCGAUUUCUCUCCAUUUCCUUCUCCACCUACUCCCCUUCUCCUCCUGCACCCUCGCCCUCCCUCGAUUUCGAUGAUAGUAGGGAGGCAAUCGAGAUGGGUGUUGAUGGAGAGGUAGGCAAGAGCAACGAGGGCGAAGGCGUGGCGGCGGAAGAGGGCAAAGGGGAUGUGGGCGAGGGCGAGGCGAUGGAGGACGGCGAGGCGGCGAGGUGGCGGCGAGGCGGCGAACCGGAGGGAGGCGAAGCAACAAAGAAGAGGACGGAGGGGUAUUUUCGGCAUAAAAAAAUAUUUUAUAACGGAACCCUAACGUUAGGGGGUGAAGUGCACAUUUUUCAUUUUAUAUGGGGGCAAAGUGUAUGUUUUUAAAUGUCAGGGGGGGAAAGUGAAAAAGCGGGUUAUUGAAUAGGGUUUUUCUAUAAUUUAGCCUUUCUUCUAUAUAUNUUACAAUCCAUAUUAAUUAGGCCUAAAAUUUUGGAAUUAUGAUUGGAUUUACAUGUUCUAUGUAUGAAUUGGAAUUAUCUAAUUAAAUUGCAGUUCAUACAAUUAAUCAAAAAUCAGGUAAUUUGAUUGGCAAAGAAUUAAUUAUUCAAUAAUGCAAUUUUAGUCUAUUAGAUAUACUCAAUAUCAUUCUCCAACUCUCUGUACAGGAAUAUAACUGUUAUUCCUUUUCUUUUUUUAUUUUUGAAAGAACCAAUUUGAGACAACAGUAGAAUGCAGGAUUAAGACAUGAACUGAAGUGCAAUGUCCAUUUACCCUUUUCUUUAUCUUUUCUUUUUUUGUUUGUGUGUGUGUGUGUGUAAUUUAUUUGCUAAACGUUAAUAGUUAUAUUUAUAUUUGAGUGGAGCAACUAUAAUUUUGUAAGCAUCAACAUCCAACUUUUGUGCAUUUUUAACUAAUCAUUAAUGUAAAUUAGUUAUGAUAUAUUAAAAUUUAGAAUAAGAUCGAUCAAGUCAUUAAGACAAUAAUUAACUAGCUAGGAUGAUCCAAAUUUUUAAAAUUUUAACUAAUAGUUAUAACUUAAUUAUCAUCUACAAUUAUUAUCUAACCAUCCAAAUGUGUUAGAAUCACUUCAAAAUAAUUGAUAAGAUUCAACUUUUUUUUUAAAAAAUAAUUAAUAUUUAUAAGUGAUCGCCUUAAUUCCUUUAUUAUCAUGACCACCCAAAUGUAUUGCAGUUGCUCUUUUAUUCACAAAUUUUGAAUUUGAGGAACGAAUUUCAUUAAUUUACUGUAAUUUGAUUUGAUAAAAUGACCAGAGCGAGAUAGGGGUGUCGACUAGCCAAACACAAGCAAGUUAGGGCCGGGUCAUCAACGAGCCGAAUAUUGGCCGACUCAUCAAAAGUAUCUGACCGAAAAAUUCAACUCAAAUUCGGCUCAUCGAAUAUAAGCCAUACACGAACUGGCUCACGUAUAAUAAAUUAAAAUGAUUAGAAAAAAUAUAUAUAUGAAAAAUAAAUUUAUGAGAUAUUAUACAUUAGAUUUUGAUCUAAUAGUUGAAACUUUACAUAUAAAUUGGCUUUUCUAUAAUUGAGUUAGGCUUUACAUUUAGAUUGGACUAAAAAGCAAAUAAUAAAAAUUUAUAUUUAUAUAUAAUUAUUUAUUUUAUAUAUAUUAAUAUAAAUUAUAUAAAAUAUAAAAUAUAUUUUUUCAAGCUGUUAUCGAGUCGAACACGAGUGAGCUGACCUGAGCUUGUGUUCGGCUCGCUUAUUAAACGAGCUGAAAAAUUCAGCUCAUGUUUAGCUUGUUUACUAAACGAGUGAUUAGAUCUCAAGCUUAUUUCAAGCCGAACGCGAGCUGGCUCGUAAACAGCGACUGGAUUGUCCGAGGAUUUCUUUAUUAUUUUUUAUUUUUUUUGAAAAAAUAACUUGUAUAGAUUUAUUUAUGGCAUUUUAAUUAAGAAAAAGGCUAAGUAUACAAUCUUUGGGGUUGUAAUCUUUACAACCACCAAUCCAAGGGCCAAGAGAGUUUACUUAUCCUUUUCUUUAUUAGUUUUUUAAAAAAACAGAAAUUUAUGAGACUAAUUCUUAUAACUUGGCCUUUAGAUGGAAUAUUUUGAAAUUCGAAAUAUGAGGUUGAUAGGAAUGUAGAUUAGAUUAGUAUGAAUGAAAGAGAAGGUAGUUUGUAUAAUUUCGAAAUUCAAAAUAUAAGUUAAAACAUAAAAAAAUAAGAUAAAAGUAUAAAAAUAUAGAUAAGCAUGAAUGAUAUAUAGAGAUUAGUAUAAUUUCAAAAUUCAAAAUAUUAGGUGGAUAGGGAUAUUUUCUUUAAAAAUUUAUAUUAGAAAACAAUAUAGAAUAUUAAAAAUAUAGAUUAAAUUAGUAUGGGUCGUAAUUCGUAAGUAGAUAAGUAUGGGUGGAAGAGUAAAAAUAUGGAUUAGGUAAGUUAAUUUGGAUUGUAGUUAGAUAAUUACAGGUUGAAAGAGAAGUUGCAUUAAUUUUUAGAAUAGAAAUAUUCAAAGAGUCGCUAUAUAUUACGUACUUAAUUUCAGGAUAAAAAUAAGAAGAAAAUCGACGAACUUUUUUUUUUUGAAAUUUCAAAACUCGGGUUUCUGAUUUUUUAUAUAUUUUUAUCUAUCUAUAUAUACUAUCUUCUAUAGAUUAUAUAAAAGUGCCUAUUUUAAAUUAGGGUAUGUUUAUAUGCCUGCUUUUUGAUGGGAAAAAAAUUUUGCUCCCCUUUUCUCUCACGCAAAAUGAAUGACCUAACAAAAUAGGAUUUAAUUCUCUUUUUUCUCUAACAAAUUACUUUUUUUAUUAAAUAUUUUUAUAUUAAUUAUAUUUUUUGUAAUAUAUAUAUAUAAUAGAACUAAACUAAUAUACUAUUAAUAGCACUAAAUCAUUCAUACAAUUAGAGAGAAAGAGAGAAAGAGAUAGUGAGGAGGUAAAACACUAUAUAUGUACUAUUUAUAAACUUGUGAAUUGGAAACCAGAGUUUUCUGUCUCGCCACGUGGUAGCGGGUGCGAGCGAGGGGGGGUGGGUACGCGAGCCUGCGCGGGCUUUUUCUUUCUUUCUUUCUUUCUCUUUUUUUUUUUUUUUUUUUUUUUUUUUUUUUGCUGUGACCCACACUCCUCUCUCUCACUCUUUUUUGCUUUUUCUUUUUUGCUUUUUCCAACACUUCUUAUUUUAGAGUGCUGUGGGCCAUAUACAAAAAAUAAAUUUUAAAUUUUAAAUUUUAAAUUUUAAAUUUUAAAUUAAAAUUUUAAACCGUCUUUUUUUAUUUUGAUGGGUUGUGGACCGCAUAUAAAAAUUAAAAUUUUGUAUUUAAAUUUAAAGUUUGAAUUUAAAUUAAAAUUUAAAUUUUAAAUUUGAAUUUUAAAUUGAAUCUAAUUUUGAUUUCAAACUUAAAUUUUUUAUUUUGAUUUUGAUAUUUCAAUUUAUGUUUAAAUUUUAUAAAUAUAUGACUUGAAAAUCAAAAGAAGAGCUCUCAUUAAUUAUUCGGGGAUUUUUUCAGUCCCACAUUCCUUUUUUCUUUUUAAUUGAGGAUCAAUUGUACCAUUUGUCCCAACCUUAAUUUGCACCAUUUUUUACUUUAGUCCCUAAUAUUUUUUUUUUUGCAAUCAAGUUCUCACUUUUUCUUGAUUUCAUAGUGAUUAUGUCCCAACUGUUAAAUCAAUGUGGUUUCACACUUUCUCACUUUAGUUUUCUGUGGUUUAAAGUGUAUCAAUUUAUCCUUUUAUUUUGAGGGGUUAUGCAUGGGGUCUAUAUGUAAUUUUUUUAUGAAUUAAUCGCAUAUUGGUCUCAACAUUAAUUUUAAUGAAAAUAAUUUACUGUAAUAAUAUCUUCCCGCCGUAUCGCGCGGACGCCCCUUAACUAGUUAAUAGUAUAAGACUAGUAUAUAUUAUCAAACUUUUGAGGAGGUUUAGGGUUUAGUGGAGGUCGGUAAAAUAAUAAAAAUCUAUGGGUUGCAAAGUUUUUUUUUUUUUUUUUUUUUUUGAGAGAUAGUUAGUACGCUACCCGCUUUGUUUAUUUCAUUUAGAAAUAAACUUAGUGUAAAUGUGAAUCAACUAAGAUUCGAACUUGGGUCUAGAAUACCAACCAUCAAGCCCUUUGCCACUUGCUCUAGGGACGGUUAGUGGGUUGCAAAGUUGAUAGCAAAUGCAAUAUAUUUAUUUAAUAUCAAUAAUAUAUACUAGCUAAGUGAUCUCUCUCUCUCUCUCUCUCUCUCUCUCUCUAUAUAUAUAUAUAUAUAUAGAACUAAGCUGGAAUACUAUCAAUAGUACAAGUUAUUGGUGCUAUAAGUUUUUUAGCUCUUGGAUUGAGAAAUGUGCACCUAUGAUGACGUGGGCCCCCUACGGUUGAGUGGGUGGUUGGUUGAAUAGUAUGAUCUAACGGGUAAAUAUAAUCCAAGGGGUUAAUCUAAAGGCAGAAAAAUUGAAGUCACCAAGUGCUUGGUACUAUCGAUAGCAUAGCAGCCGGACUCAUAUAUAUAUAUAUAUAUAUAUAUAUCAUAUAUACGGAUAUAUAAUAUUAUAUAAUAUAUAUUAUUAUUAUAUAAAGUCCGGCUACUAUACUUUUAUGAGUAUUGGCUCUCUUAUACUCAUAAGUUUUUGGCUUUUAUAUUUAUUUCAUUGAUCAUUUUCACCCGUUAAAUCAUACUAUUCAACCAACUAUCUAUUCAACCCUAGGGAACCACUAUCAUUUUAGGUGGGGACCACCGUCAUCCUAACCACACAUCCCAUCAAUCAAUGAUUAAAAAUUUAUAAGUAUAAGAAGGUCCAUACUCAUAAGAGUAUAGUAGUCCCAGCCUAUAUAUAUAUAUAUAUAUAUAUAUGUAGAGAGAGAGAGUAGGGCUACUGUGCUAUAAGGAGCACAGCAGUUCUUGUGCUCCUAACUUUCUAAACACCCAUCAAGUUUGAUGGGUGGUUAGAAUAAAAGGAAAAAGAGAUAUCGAAGAAAAAAUUCAAGGAAAAGAGAAAUUAAGACACCCAAUUUCUCUCCAACAUCUUUUUUCCCUCUUAUUCUAACCAUCCAUCAAAUUUGAUCGAUGAUUAGAAUAAGAGGGAAAAACGAUAUUGGAGAGAAAUUGGGAAAGUUAGAAACAGAAGGACUACUGUACUCCUAAUAGUACAGUAGCCCUACUCUAUAUAUAUAUAUAUAUAUAUAUAUAUAAUUUUUUAUUAAUUUUUCAACGUAGGACUGUCCGCAUGCCAACUCUAAAUAAAUUUGAUCGAGAGAAAGUCCUAACAAUACAGUAUUUAACAAAUGCAUAACCAUACGAAAAGUAUUUUAAGCAAAUAUCAUAUAAAUGCUGAGAGUACUAUUGGGUAGUUGGCUAAGGACUUGCCGGUUUGGUCGAAGCUUAAUUGUUUUAUAUUUCUAACUAAUUAAAUUAUUUUUAAAAAAUGAAUGAAGUCGGUAACUUGCUACAUUUCUCUGAAAAAAAAAACAAAUAGAUAUCUUUUAAAUAGCAUCAACUUUAAUACCUUUUGGAGGUUUAUUUCGCAUCUUUAUUUGAUUAAUCAUCAGUACUGUGCUUGCUGAUCUAGUAUUACUUUUCAAUACACAUGGAGGAGCCUGUUCCAGUAUUACUUUUCUAUGCACAAGGAGCCUGUUGAUCUGGAAGUGACAUAAUGAGCAAAAAAUAUUUCUGCAACAAAGGAAUGUUUAAUUUUAUGUGGGAACAAAUUAUCUAAAUAAUAUUCUUGGUUAAUCAAGUAUGGAGAUCUAAUUUCUUUAGUAAGUUUUACUUUAUUGCAUGUGUUAUUUAAAAGAUUGAUCUGAUAGAAAAUAAUCGAGAAAUAGCAUUACCACUUCUGCUCACAUGCAUGCAUGAUGGAGAUCAAAUGAACCAUUGGUCAGUCCACUGACUUAAGGUAAUAAAGAAGAUAACAAAAUUAAUAGCAUACAAUUAAUAGUAUAUACCAUAAAAUGUUUGAAUGUAGAAAUUGAACUUAAUUACAAUCUCUAAAACCAUAUUAAAGGGUUUGAAUCAAACCAGAAGUUUAAACAAUCUCAAGACCUUCUACUUCAAUGCAACUAAUGUGAAACAACUAUUUAUUUCUAUAUCAAAUUUUACGCUACAAAGCAAUAAUUGAUGACUUCGUAAGUUUAAGCUGAUUUGUGUGCUGACAGAUUUGCACAUUAUAUAUAUGCUUUCCAUUCUUUUGACACAUGCUUAAUUAGCGGUAUUAACACCACUACAAUAGAAUUAGAUUAUAUGGACACAUGUUUGGGACACUUUUGUGUAAGUGUCCCAUUUAUGUCAAAACUUAAAAAAAAUUUAUUAAUGCCUAAAUAUAAAACCCAAUCCAACAAAAAAUAGAAGGUUACUCUACUCAACCCAUCCCACCCAGCCCAUUCGGCCCGAUUACAAACAGAAAAGAAAAAAAGAAAAAGAAAAAUCGAUUACCAUCUCCCCUUCUCCCCUCACUCAAUCUACUGAAAUCUUAGACGAAGAGCCAUUUCCUCUCGUCCUCCUCCGCCACCGCAACCAACGAGGUAGAGUUCCGGCGGUUGCUAAAUGCUUAAAUAAGUGUUGGUAAGUUAGCAGCACUGUUUUAGCUUAUAGCGAUACUCUUUAACUGUCACUAUAUACCUAGCGACCCCACAUAUAGCAACACUUUAAAAGUAUCAGUAAUUUAGCCAGCAGCACUUUUUUUGACUUAUACCGACAUUUAAAAGUGUCGCUAUAGACUGUUUUUGUUGUAGUGCACGUGGCAGGAGAACAAUCCGGUCACAUGAUUCACAUAUCAAAUCACUAUUAAUAUGCGAUACAAACUCAAUCCACGUAUUAGAUGCGACUAGAAUGCGGCACAAACAACUUCACAUGGUAGAUAUCACUAGCGGGCGAUAGGAUUAGGCUGAGUAAAAAUAAUGACCAUGUGAACCAAACAAACUCUGAUACAAGUUAAUUUCAUUUCCGUGAAGAUUUGUCGAACUUAGAGAAAAGCUACUUGAAAAUUGUAUGUACUGUAUGGUAAAAAAUAUCCAACUUUAGAUAUAUUCUCCAUCAAACAAGAACUUUGUGCCUCUCAAGUAAACCAAAUUAGGAAACAAAUGUUAAAUCAACAAUAAAUUCAUACAUCAAAAAGAUAAUACAUCAAUUCUACGAUAAUAUAGUGAACAUAUAUAAAUGGAGUACACGUACCUUAUAAGAAACUUCGCUACUUAGGAAACGUUUCUCAAUUACAUUAUUGUAAUCGCAAGGAGACCUUGCAAAAAAUAAUAAUAAUUAAAUUAACUUUAAACAAAAUACAAAAGAAAGCUCCAUGCAUGCACUAAUUGGAUCACCGCACUAAUGUCCCAAUAAACUACAAGAGACCAUAAGGGUGACCAACUAAAAUAAAUAAAAGCCUACAUACUUGACUUAGUGAUGAUCUCUUGUAUAUUUAUUAAAUAAUAGAGUAAUUUUCAGUGUUACAGGUGUAUCUACCUCUAUCAACGUGUGUGUGUGUAUAUAUAUAUAUAUAUAUAUAUAUAUAUAUAUAUAUAUAUUGUGUAGCUUUGAUUUGUAUAAUAUCAUAUUGUGUAGAGUUUUUUAUCACAUGGGCCCACAAGUGAUAAACACAAGUAAUUAAUGAAGCCCUAAACUGUGUCCACAUGCAUCUCGAUCCUUCCUUUGUUCCUAUCAACAACAUGCUUUUGGCCUUCAUAAUUUUCUCCUGUGAGGAAACUAAGUAUCCUGGUAUUGUUGGAAGAGAUCCCAAUAAGCAUUAGGGGAAGGUGCAAAAGGAGUUGUUAAGAAAAAGCUGGGACUAACCAUGGCCAUGUUGUUGUUCUCUGUAGAAAUGUUACUCUUGUUAAAAGUAUGAAAAGCUGGGCUUAGCUCAUGUAAGAAGUUUAAGGAAUUCAUUUCCGGGAGCGGCGAGAAGAAGUUCGGAGGUAUCGCAGGUAGGGUCGAAGGGACGGGGGACAGGAUCCCCGGAAACGAUCCGGUUCUAUCCAAUAACCUUGCACCACCUUGAAACCCUAGCUGAUCGAGAACAUCCACCGCACCGUCGACUUGACUUGGCAUGUUGCCCCUCGGUGUGACGACUCUUCCUUGCGGUCGCUCGAUCACAGCUAACCUAGCUGCCGGCGAAAGCGCUUCCCCUUUAUCAGAAGCAAAAGCAGAAGCAGAAGUAGAAGCAAAAGCGGAGACAGAAGCAGAAGCGGAGGAGGAGGAGGAGGAGGAAGCUCCGGUUAGGCGUUGGACGAGCGACAUGAACUCGCUAGGGUGGGUGUGGAUGACCUUCGGUGAGACCGUGUAGAUAAUGACCGGGGGCCGCUGCUGCACUGGCAAAGCGCCAUGUUGGGGCUGGGCUGGAGCCACCGGCGGCUUCUUGAUCUUGUGGGAGUCCUUUCGCACCUUGAGAGGUGUCGGCCGGGGCCCUUGCAGCUCUCGUCGUGGCGACGGCCUCUCCUUUGUCGGUUCAAAGGGAUCCAUAUGUAUUGGUGUGUUCUGAGAAAGCGAGAAGAGAUCCUUAAAGAGAGGGCACGAGAGAGAGUGGUCCUUAUAUAUAGAUAGAGUGAUCUUUAGAGAGAGAGAGAGAGAGAGAGAGAAAGAGAAGAGGGGAUCAAUUGUGAGCAACGUGUUAAUGGUGUGAGACGUUAUUAUAUAUAUGAAGCCAACGAAGAAAAAUGAGACGCCACGUUAAAUAUUUGUUACACCCAUAGUCAAUGGAGUAAUGGAGUGCAUAAUAAUAAUAAUAAUAAUAUGACAACAAAAGCGAAAAAAAAAAAGAAGAAAGGACAAAAAAAAAAAAAGAAAAAGAAAAAGAAAAGUAACUCGUGGUAGCUUCUGUUGAACCUGUCCAUGGAGGUGGGUUGCGGGAUGCAGUAAACGACUCGAAAACCAAACACGAUUUAGCCGGGUGACGUGUCAAUUUUUGAUUGAUCCACGUACUCUUGUGCGCGCGUCGGCGUUUGGGACCGAGCACCCGCACCGUAGUGCCAAGUCAGAUGAAGUGUGUAGCGGGUGUUGGGAGGGUGACGUGGCGGCGCGUGGUGGGUCGUCGUAGUAUCAACCCGUAUUAGCCAAUUAGAAUAGAGGAUUGCGAAUACUGAACACGUGGGAGGUUUUUAUUGGACUUUCGUAGAGUUUGGUGUUCUGGGGAUUUGAGACAAAUAUUCCUGGUGGGUUUGGAAGAGUAUUUGUCUGAUGUGGUCAAUAGGUCGGUCAAUAAAAGACUCGGUCAAUUUGUUGAAUGGAUCCAAACUCUCCACUAUGUGGGAGAUUAUUGCUUACACCUGGUGCAUCCGUACAUGCUGUGCACCAUCCAACCUUUGGAAGUGGUUUGGAUAUGUUAUUGAAUUUGAAUUUAUGCAAUUUUAUCUUUUAUCAAAUUGAAAUAUCAGAAUAACUGACAUAGUCAUCAUUUUAUGGAUCAGGUCCCCUUAAUUACCUUUUUAUUUUUAAAAAUUUGAUAGGAAUUUAAUAAAAAAAAUACUGUACAUAUACUUAUUUUGGAUGGGGUGUACGAUUUACACCUAUUUUGAACUGUAUGAAUUGCAUUGUUUUUUAUAAUAACAUUAGGGAAACAAACAUUAUUGUGACUAGUAAAAAAUUUUCAUCAUUAGAAUAAAUAGGAGGUAUGAUUUAUAAUUAUUUGGGGAAGUAGUAUUCCUCUUGAUAAAAACAUAAGAGAAAUAAAAAUAUGUGGAUCCAUUUGUCCAUUAAUAAUAAAAUAUUUGUUAUCAGAAAGAUCAAUCUAAUAGAAAAUUAUUCAGAAAUAGACUGAGAAUUAGAAAAGUAUGGGUGGAUGUUCGAAUUGAACACAAAAUCUCUUAGAACGCAGGAUGCGUAAACUGACUUUGAUAUCAUAUUAUCCAAAAAUAAUUUAUGUAAUAGAAAGCACAAAAAUGUACCAAAUAUAUAGAUUGAUACAGCAGGUGCAGGCAAUAAUAUCAGUACAUUAUGAUGUACUUCAAAAAUAGGAGCCGGCACUCUUUUUUUUUUUCUUUUUUUUUUUUUUUUAACAACUUCUUUAAUUUUGUUUAAUGGAGUGACAUAUAUAGUAAUUAGAUGUGAGGCAGUUGUACUUAUUUGAAAAGUAAAAAGAAAAAAAGAAAAAGAAAAGCAUCACUAUGGCUUGACCCUGUUAAUUAUUAGACGUUUCAAAGCGAAGCUGCAAAAAGAGGGAGAAAAUAUCAUUAUAUUCUGUAUGUAUGUGGGAGUGAGUAUGGACGUAAGCAUCAAUUAAUUAAUUAUUUCAUAAGCACGUGUUUAUUAGAAGAAGAGAUUUAUUACAUUGAAUGGUUCAGCCACAGCGCUUACGAGCUUUGACUCGAUUCAAUUCAUCUGAAUAUUAGCGUUUUAUUAUUGAGUUUUUUAUCGUUAGACUUAUUAUUAAUAUAUUACUGUCCUACUGAACUUAAUAGAUUCAUCCAAUUCAACUUAUUAAUUUUCUAAAAUCUAUUGUCAUAAAAUAAAAAAUUAAAUUUAUUAUAGUCGAUAAUAAAUAACCAGUGCUAUGUACGUAAGUCUUAUAGUAACUAACUAGGUUUUAUUUGUAUUUUAGCACAAGUACCGUACGUGUCCUUCAAAACGUAUUUUGACAUGCGAGUUCCACGUGGCAAUCUACGGAGAGUGUAUGACUUCCAAUUUUUUAUUUUGGCUAAAUUGCAUUUUUCAUCCUUAAGCUUUGAUUCUUUCAUGUUGAAAAAUUUCUUUCAAAUCCUUUAUUAGUUAAUUUUUUUUAAAAAAAUAAUUUUAAAAUGAAAGUAAUUUAAUUUCUAUUUUGAAAAUUUCUAAAUAAAUAUUAACUUGUAAAUAUUAUAGAGAAGAAAAGAUGAGAUGAUGCAUGUAAGUUGAGACGUGCUAGGCACUGUCCUAAAAACGGAAUUGCUCUUUCACAUGCGAGACCUCGGCAAUAUGUAAGGAAGUAAAUUCUCGAAAUCUGAGAGUUAGACUUCGUUUAGAACCGGCUAAUUGUCGAGUUGGUAUGCUUCGGAAAGUCCGAAUGCGAUAAAAAUACAUAAAGUGUAUUGAGGAGGACCCGCGAGAGCAAGUCGUGCAAAAUCUGCACAAGUUGUAGAUUUUAUACUCUCGGGGUGUCACGCCCCAGACCGCACCACCCGAAAACGGUACCAAUUUGGUCCGAUUCGAGGGCGGCGUGCGCGACCGCCGAACGGACAGAGUCUCCCCUGUCCGCCCAAGGCUAAGCAACGGAUUGUGUACAACAAGUCUCCAGAAAAAACAACUUGCAUUCAUACACAAUCAACAACGAAGCGAAAGCACAAACAGUGCUAUAACCAACUAGAGCAAGCGAUACAAGUAAAAUCAUACAAGUAUACAAAAGAGAGAAACUUAGCUAUUUAAACCAUAAUUGAAACAUUAAACCUCUUUCGAUAUCAUUUAAACUUUAAGCAUUUAAUACAACUUGCAUUCUUUUCCCAAAAUGAAGAUACAUCAUAUGCUCUCCAAAACCUCACCCUAUACAUCAUCUACUCUCAAAGCAUAACCAAAAGUACAGGGUAGGGAGCUAAUGCAAGUAGGUAAAGUAAGCUAUCUACCAAAAGCUAGGGCGCUAUGCCCUUACCACGAUCCAUCGACGAAGGCCCGCUAAGAUGUUAAUCACCUAGAUUUGGAAUUUUAUUGGAGUAUUUCCAUGUGUUGAAACCUAGAGCUCCAAAAUGGGGUUUUGGGAAAUCUAGGAUUUUGAUCUAAAUUAGUUGAUUGUAAACCUAAUUGUUAGGUAUCUAGACGCGUUGGCGGCGAUGGUUCGACGAUUUGUCGAGUCGGUGCGGAGAAAUCGCCAAGCGGAGGGCGUUACGGCUUCGUCUCUAGUCGGAGGGCCGAAGCGGCGUCCUAGGAGGUUUCCGAGUUCCUUUCCUUGAGUCGUUGCAUCGCCAAGAGGUGAGUGGUGCCAUCCCGAAGCAGUUGAACUGCUCCCUAUGUCUAAGUCUCAUUGUUGAUCUCAUGAGCAUCUUGCCAUAUUGCAUUAUAGGGUAUUUAGUAUGUUGUUGUAUAUUCUUGCAUGCUAGUGGUAGUGUAGAGUCGCUUGCUUGACACUUGGAGCUAGUAUGCAUGAUAGCGUGACAUGAUGAUUUGGAACCCUAUAAUGAAAAGAUAAAUGGUGAAUGUGCCUUAUGUGGAUGAAAACCUAGUGAUGUAUAGGUUAGUGUAUUGUAAACACAUAAAUGAUAAUGAGUGUCAUCUAGUUAAGAUAAACACAAGAACGAGUGGCAUGAAAAUCUUAGUGUAGUUGAAACACUAGAAGGUUGAGAAUUGGGAUUACAUUGAUUCGUGAUGAUGCUAACCCUAACUGGUAGGGUAUCCUCCAUCGGCGAGGAUUGGACCGUGCUCACGUAGCUUGUACUAUACUUGUGGUGGUCGCUCCACAUAAGCCGUGCACUCCGGAGUAUUUGUUACACAAGAGGCAGCGGCUAGCUGCCCGGACAGUAGCUAGCUGUCCGCAGGCGGUCUCGGGUGAGUCAAGCAGCUUGGACUCCUCACUGAUGAGAUUUGAGACGUGAGAUGAGAGCGAACCUUCGGGUUAGCCGAGCGAUUGGGUAAACUAAUGAAUAAACUUUAUUGUUGAACAUAGUAGCAUGGUAGCUAGCCUUUCUCUAUGAGUUACAUGCAUGCAUGAUGUGGAUUGAGGUAUAGUAGGAUACUUGCAUUUCUAUUUACUAUGUCGUCGUUGCUUUUAUACAAACAUAUCUAUCUAUCUGUCUUCCUAUGCCUGCUUAGAUCUAGUGGGGAGAUCGGCGAAAUCGGCGGCAGAACCCACUCGGAACUAUGAACAAUAGUUCUCACCCCACUCUGUUGCAGGGCCGAGCUCGAGUACCCCUGGCGAGGAUCGUGGCAAGGGCUUAGCGCCCUAGGGUUGGUAGAUGCUUCCUAUUGCAUUAGUAGUCACCCUAUAUACUUGAGAGUAGAUGAUGUAUAGGUGUGAGAGAGUUUGGAAGAUUGUAAACUUUAUGUUUAUAUUUUUGGAAAGUCUAAAUAUAAUCAAUAUAUUAAAGGUUGAAUAAAUGUAAUAGUUAGUAUCUCUUUUUUAUUCACUUGUGUUUACUCGUGAUGCUUGCUCUUGGUUGUUUAGCACUGGUUGUGCUCUCGUUGUUGUUAUUGAUCGUGUAUGUAUUCAAGUUGAAUUCCUGGGAACUUGUUGUACAUGAUCUCGUUGUUUAGCCUUCGGCGGACAGGAGAGGUGCUGUCCGUCCGCCAUCUAUUCGACGCGUCCGAGCCGGACCUAGCGGGUCUCGAGGCGUGACACAAUCAUUCCUAGCGAAACAACGACCACCGUCCAUCCCGUCGACACAUUUUCAAGGUGGUGUAAUACCAGGGUGGUGCAAUACGAAUCCAACGAGCUCAAAGAUCUAUCGAAUGAGAAGAAGAAAUGUAAAGUUUAGUAUAAAGAACCAAAGGAAGAAGAAAACCUUUUUGCAAGUUUCAGGUGAAAACCUUUAUCACAUGCACCUCUCCUCUCUUCUAUAUAUAGAUAGAAAAACACAGUAGGGUCCAACAGCUCUUUUUCAGAUAAGACGUUGGCACUUAUCGAGAUGCUGGAUACAGGAUCUUACCGAGAGAGGGUAAGAUCUAGAUAAAGAGACCUUACUGAGGUAAGAUAAUUAUCAGGCCUUAAAUACGAAAUCUCCAAAAAUAAAAUAAAAGAAAAGGAUUGAAUUAACCGGGUAAGCCUGGUCCGUGCGCGCCGCCCGCUCCACCCGGCUCGUGCCAUGCGUGUGUACCUGUGUUUAGUCGCUCCUAAAAUAUUAACUUGAAAAUGAAGGAGUAUAUAGUAUGCAGCCACUAGUUUUUAGUUUUCAAUAUGAGACUAAUCCUCACAUAUAGAAAUUUAAACACGGGCUUGUAGACAAAGUGCAUAAAAAAUUGGGCUGCCUAGAAAGAUCAUAGACAGAAUUGAAGUUUUACAUCACUGAAAUUAUAUUAAUACUAACAUUUGACACUUAAUUUUCAGCCUUUAAUUUAUUACAAUUCCUGAUUUACACUAUAAAUUAUUGGAAUUAAAUCUCACAGACCAAUCUGGCUACUUAAAUAGUAACGCUUUACUGAUGUAGUAUUGAUGUAAAGCUUUAUAAUCGAUAGUAUUGUAGUCACUAAGAUGCCAAAGUAUUAUCACAUUUGCGAAAUAUCUAAAUCUAGUCAAGAUUGGACUGUAGGACUUACUAACCCAGUUUAAAAAAUUUGAGCUAGAAAUUUUAACGAAUUAACGUUCUAGUCACAAGGCUUGUUGGUUGGUACCCGAGACCCAAGUUCGAAUCCUAGUUGAUUCACAUUUCCAGCUAAGUUUAUUUAUAAAUGAAAUAAACGAAACGGGUAGCAUGCUACCUUUCUCUCUCUCUUAAAAAAAAAAACAAAAAAAAACAAAACAAAAGAAAUUUUGAUAUAGCUACACAUUUGAAUCGUCGAUCAAAAAUUAGUUCUGUUAAUAUCAAUUCCUGCUUCAACAAUAAAAAUAAGCAACAUUACCUUGUACUAUGCGCAUCACCGGAAUGUUAAAGUAGCAUGAACGAUCUACAACAAUUUUUAGGAAAUGUUUAGGUGUAUGUGCAACACCGAAGUGUCAAAUACGACAUUUGACUCUGAUGCAUUUGAAUCUAGUUGUUAUAGUUAAAAUUGCAUAAGGUGGGUCGUUUGUAGCGGUUGGAACUACGACCAAAUUGUCAACAGCUCCAACUGCAACUUUCGGAGAUAGUAACUUAAAAUGAAAGAUAAACCUACUUUUCUAAUCACUUCUUAAAUAUAAAUUAUUAGUCUUUUGCAUUAGGGAUAAUCUCACCGCUCCAUGCAUAAAGUAAUAAAAUUUAUAAAUAUAACCAAAUUAUCUAUAGUUAUAUCAUUUUCUACAACACUCGAUUAAAAAAGAUGAAUGCAGUUAUAACUAUUGCAUUUUUAACUGCAUGUAUUUUCAGUUAUACUAAAUUUAUAAUUAUGCAUUUGAUUGACAAGAAGUGUGAUCAAAUGCUCGGAACUUGAUACUAUAUUCGACCAUUAAGUCAUUUUUUUGAAUAAGAUAAAUCACUUCGUAGGUGAAAUAUGCUAUCUUACAAAAUCAUAGAUAACAAGACAUUUGAAGGAGCAAAAGUUAAACUUUUUAUUUACAAUCAUACUAGAAAGUUCUUAUAAUCUUAUACAAAAUAAGAUUUUUUUUGUUUUUUUUUUUUUUUUGAGAGAGAGAGAGAGAUAGGUAACAUGCUACCCGCUUCGUUUAUUUCAUUUAGAAAUAAACUUAGCUGGAAAUGUGAAUCAACUCGGAUUCGAAAUUGGGUGUCGGAUACCAACCACUAAGUCGUUUGCCACUUGCUCUAGGCAACUUAUUCUGACAUCUAAACAUCGCAUAAGGGAAUUUAAUGAUUGGACUUUAAAGAAGGCAUUACCACCGCAAAAAGGCCAAAUUCGGCGUGCCGGGGUAAUCCUAUUGGGCUGGUCCAAGAAAACAGGCCCAAAGUUAAGAGAUUGUAUAUGGCCCAUUAGGAAGACAAAAGACUAGUGGGUCUGCAUACUCAUGAUAAAAGGGUUAAAAUAGAGAAAAUUCUCUUGUAAGUAUUCGCUUUUUUUAUUUCUUUUUUAUUCUGACUUUUAAAAAUUUAUAUUUUACUCUCUUAGAAUUUUAAAUUGAUACAUUCGGCCUCCCUCUAUCAGGGUUCUGUCACUAUUCCAUCGAUUUCUUAUAUUAAUAUCAAAAUUGGCAUUGAAAAUGACAUAAAUAUAUUAAAAACAUUUUAUAGAAGAAAUAAGAGUAAUUUGGCCAUUUCACCUUCUCCGUUAACAUCAUAAUCUCUUGAAUAUAUUUUUUAAAUUUCAAGAAAGUAAAAUAUAGAUAUUUAAAAAUAAAAAAAAAUUUACAGGAGAUUUUCUGUAUUUUAAUCAAAAAAAUUGCAACUCGUGUAGAAAUGAAACAUAAAAAACUGGAUUCUCGGGUUAGAAGAACUUAUUCGUUACAGUUCAUUUUCACACAAGUUUGUAUCUUACUUAAACUACUAACUAAAGCAAUAAACCACGCACUGUUUCCAGCUUAUUUAGAUGACAAAAAUAGAUAUCAAACUAACAUUAUAUAGAAUAAAUAUAUUAUAACAUUACAUAAAUAUAAUAAGUUGGACUGAGUUUGGAAUAUUGGAUAUUGGAUUUGGAGUUGAGAAAGAUCUCGAGAUGAAUUUGAAGUUUUGAAAUCUAAAAAUGAAUAGCUGGGCUCUUGAAAUUAAUGAGAAAGUUUAAUUUGAUAUUCAUAUUCUCACAACCUUAAAACGCUAAUAAAUUAUUAAAAUAAAAUGGUUUCACAUUUUUUCAAACAGUGUUACUAAUGAGCCUUCAAAUGAGCUGGUUUAAGUUUUGUAGUAUUGCGAAAAUACUGUAGAUGUUGUAUUUGGAAUAAAAGUUUGUUAGUAACUUAUCAAGUCACUUUGAUCGGACUACUAAAAAAUUUCAUCAAGUAUGAAAAUGAGAAUAUAUACUUCAUAAUCCAUAAUAAUCUAGUAUUCUUAUUGUAGAACACAGUGGAAGUGCUCGUUUGUGCAUUUUACGGAAGCAACUCGCGUUAGAACGUGAUAAGUUUCGGAUCAUAGAGGUUGAUUCAUGUAUCCUUGGAUCGUCCACGAAGUUCUUCUAACGCUCCAAACCGAUGGUAAAUUGAGCUACAAACGAGUUAGAUCUGUAAUUCACUGUAUAAGACCGUCUAAAAGUAAUAGGUUAAUGCAAUAUGUAAUUUUUCUCGCUCACAAGAUGACAUGGGUAUUUUUCUUUUCUUUUUUUUUUGUAUAUGUUUUCUGAGAGAAUCACCCUUAUAUUUAUAAGGGAUCGCAACAUUCUAAAUAAGUAAAAGAUUAAGUCGGUUUAUAAUUGGUAUUCUAAUAUGGCUAGAAUAUAUUUUUAAUUAGCUUUUCAAAUUAAAAAUGAGAUUAAAUUUGGUCCUAUUAUACAACAUAAUAACUAUAUAUCAAAUCGAGUCCGAUCAUGAACGUAUUCGAUUCGGUCUGACAGAAUGCCAACACCUAUCAUUUAGCAAUGAGCAAUGAUUCUACUAUGUAGUGACACCUUGUCCAACUGAUAAACUUAAGUUGAAAAGUAAUAAUUUAAAUAUUUUCACCAAAAAAUAAAAAAAAUUAUUGAAAUACCAUAAUGUGUAAACCAAACAGGCUCUUAGAACAAUCCAAAUGGUUCUUCUAUGAUGAGAUGGAGUACACAGAUGAUCAACAUCUUGAUUGGUGUGUUAACUGUUGGGAAAGUACACCAUGCAUGUGGGUGUGGACCUAAAAAUGGCCUACUUUGAACAACCAAAGGCUCCAACUAAUAAAAUGAACACGCAAUUCACACUGUGUGUAGUAUGGUUCAUGAAUGAGUGCCAGCUCUUUCUCUCUCUAGAAACUAGAAAUUAUUGCAUGCAUUUGGUGCACCAAGUAAUACAUGUUAUAAAAUUUGAAUAUUAAGUAUAAAUGUAGUAUUCUGCUUAAGCUUUUUUAGUAAAAGCGAAUAUUUUUACAUGGUCUCUGAACACGAUAUUUUGAGCGUUAAUCCCACUAGCUAGUCGUACUCUUAGCUUGAUGUUAAUUUUCUUUUAUUUAAUUCAAGUUUACAUCUUACUCCGGCCAAGUAUGAUAAAAAGUUUUGAGUAUAUAUCGCAAUAAGUUGCUAUAAACUGAUAGCUUAAGAUUUUAGAGCAAAUGGUUGUUGCACAAUAGAUGUCACAAAAUUAAAAUUUAAUUUAUCGAUGCCCUAUGACAUUUAAAAGGCUUACAUUGAUACCAAAAAUCAUAGAUUUUUAAUAUCUAUCUCUUAUUAAUUGAACAAUAUACUUUCAUAUGUUACUAUAAAAGCUAAAACUUUCAGAGAACGAUAUUUUUAGUAUUUAUAUUCAACACCGACAUUGUAGAUUUUUAAUAUUAAUUUAUGCGGACAAUGCUAACUGUAUAUUUUAUAAUAUGGUGUGAGAUAUAUAUACUCUCGCCAUUGAUUUGCUUGGAUUAAUCAUGAAGUUUGACAGGGUUUGAACUUAGGACUCCUUCUCCAUUAUUAUAUUAAAUUAUGUGAAAUAUCAUUAUUCUUCAAUAUCUUAAAUUGUCAGAAAAUAAUAUUUGUAAUAAUUAUAUUCAUCGACAUGCAAUAUAAGCAUACAACAGGUGCAAGCAAUAAUAACUCUUCUCUCUCUCUCUCUCUCUCUCUCUACAUUCACAUGCUCAGCUUCAUAUAUGGGAUUAUUGUGGAGAAAGGAAUCUAAUGCAAUAGUGAAUUGUUUCUCCCAACCUAGUGUUUUUUGGGUUUCCUCUUUAGCUCAAUACACAGGAGUAAAACUGGAGGACAUGGAAAAUAUUGCAAAGGGUAAUUAUAUUAGAGCUUUUUUUAGUUGGUAGAAGUGUUUUUGAUAAAUAAAUUCCUUCGUGCAAACUCUCUAAUUUGAAGUUUUUGAUUUUGUUAUAAAAAAGAAAAUGGUGGAAGGACUAAAGAUCGAUGUUGAUUCAUCCCUGGUUAUAAUAAUCAAACGGUGCUUUAUGUAACAAUAUUGUAUCAUACAGCAGAGCCAAAUAGAUCUUGAGAAGUAAAAUUUUAAGUACGUAAGAUUAAUUAUACCGUUAAGGCUCGCUAAAGCGUGCGAAACCUUCAAACCAUCUUCGUAGUUUAACUCAUAGUUGAAUCGAGGACCUAUAUAUAUAUAGACAUGAGCCAGCUAGUACGUACCUUAUCGACCUAUGCUAAGGUGGACUUGUACCUCUCUUGUGUAGUCGCUUAAAUACAUCAUUCGAAUGUAGUCGUCCAAUUUUAUGAAAUCAACAAAGAUUGACGAUCGAAUGAUGAAAACGGAGAUCGAUGGACAUAUAUACAUACAAAAAAAGGUUACAAAAACAGAUAUGUACGUAAUUUGCGUGGCGAUGAAAUGUAUCCCGUGUAUCUGACGACUUCUCGACUUCUCACUAUCGUAAAAUCGAAUGAAUAAGAUUUGAAUUUGAAUUCGGAUCGGCUCACUGUACGCGCCCGAGUCCAAGAUCCAAUAGUACAGAGUUGGCGCGUACAAUCACUGCAGAGGGGUGGAGCACUAACUUUGGGAGGGGCCCGUGGGCGAGCCCAUCCCUAUCAAUCUCCACCAUGCACGUGAUGCGUGUCGAAUCAGAUCGGGUGAUCGGUGUGUUUGACUCGUGCAUGGACCACAUUGGAGUGCAUGGACCACAUUACAAAAUAGUAUGGCUAGGCUAAUCAAUCAAUGGAACAGUACUAUGUGGUGUUGAUGUUUACAUCUCUUUGUUCGUUGCUUUGUUGCAGGAUAAGUAGGUCACCUUUCCAAAUUUUGGUAACAAGCAAUUAAUGGCUUCAUAUCCUAAAAUUCGUUAUUUUCCGUAUGAUUAGGCUUGUAGCAAUGUUUUCCCGAGCUAGAAACUAAUUAUUUGGUGAAGUACGGCUUUUUAUGUUUUCAAAAGUAUUGAGGCCUUCGUAUGACAUCUGAUCCACCGAUCAACUUCAUUACAUAUAUUGUAAAAGCACAGAAGCCUUCGCACGAUAUCUGAUUCAUCGAUCGACGACUUCAUUAGAUAUGAUUUAUAACAUUGAAACUAUUUAGAAACUAAUUUUGUAAUUUUUGUUAUUAUAUGUUUAGUUGUCAAAAAGUCUAAAAUAGAACGAUUUUUACAGUUGACGUGACACGUUUGUAAGUUUAAUGGUAUAGAGCAAUUCAAAUUUGGUGAAAUUUUAAUUGAAAAAUUAUUUUUACUAUCAAGAGCAAAGUCGGUGCUGUCGAUUUGAAAUUUAAAUCUUUUAACAUAAUUUUUUAUAAGAUUUUUAUUUUUAGCUGUUCAUUUUAAAAUUUGGUUUCUAAAAAAUUUCAAUAAUAUAAAUUAUGUCUAACAAGACUAAUCAUCGAAUCAGAUUCGUAUAAUUAAAACUAACUUAAAAAUACGAAGAUGUAACAAUCCGAUUCCCUAACAAUAAUAACUGGUUGAGUCCAAAUCACUGGCUCAAAAUGUUUAAGACCAGUUUUUAUUACUAGUUUUUAUAUUCUCUUAUAUACCUAAUUGUGAUCUCAUUCACAUCGGAUGUGAGAUUAUUGGAAUGUCACAGGAGAUUUUCGUACUAUUCACUACAACAGAAUUAGAUUAUAUGGACACAUGUUUGGGGCACUUUUGUAUAAGUGUCCUAUUUAUGCCAAAACUUAAAAAAAAAAUCUACUAAUGCCUAAAUAUAAAGGCCAAUCCAACCAAAAAAAAAUGUUACUCUACUAAACCAACCCCACCCAGCCCAUUCGGCCCGAUUACAAAUAAAAAAGAAAAAAAAAAAAAUCGAUUACCAUCUUUCUUUCUCCCCUCACUCAAUCUAUUGAAAUUCUAGACGAAGAGCUCUUCCCUCUCGUCCUCCUCUGCUACCGCAGCCAAUAAGGUAAAGUUUCGGCGGUUGCUAAAUGGUUAAAUAAGUGUUAGUAAAUUAGCAGCACUUUUUUUAGGUUAUAGCGACACUCUUUAACUGUCACUAUAUACCUAGUGACUCCACAAAUAGCAAUAUUUUUUAAAAAUGUCGGUAAUUUAGCCAGCAACACUUUUUUUUGACCUGUACCGAUAUUUAAAAAUGUCGUUAUAAAUCGUUUUUGUUGUAGUGAUUGAAGGCACGUAAGGGUAGUUUUAUUUGAUGAUCUUUUCUUAUAUCUAUUACUCAAAAGAGGUCAAUCUAAAAAUAUAACUCUUCGCUCAAGUGCACGGUACAUAGGAUUGGAACUCAAAAUUUUUUAAAUAAAGGAAAGCCUUUUAAUUAGCCUUUGUUUCAUAGCAACAGCAGAUGAACCUACAGUUAGGUACCGUUUGGUUCGGGUAUAAGCAAGAACUAGCUAUUACAAGGAUAGGUACAAGUAUGGGGAUAAGAAAAAUAGCGUUUGGAUGAAAAUUGGGUUGUUCCCGAGGAUAAGAAAAAUAUUAGAAAGUUUUAUAUAGAAAAUGAAAGUGUUGGUGGGGAUAACCGAGAACUACUAUUCUCGGGUAAAAAAUUAGCGUUUGGGUAUAAAGGGGGGGAUAAGGGCCUAUCCCUAUCCCUAUUCCCAAACCAAACGGUGCUUAGGCUGUAAAAUAUAGCAUAUUAGUAAUACACAAUUUUUAACUUUACUAUCAUGUGAUUUGUAAAUUGUGUUGUAUUCAUGUAGUUUUAACGACGGCAGGUUCUAACAACCAAAUAAAAAUAAAAUCAUAUGAUAAUAAUAUUAUAUUUUUCAACUCAUAAGGUGGCAAAGUAUUAAAUGCUAAACCUAAACCGUCAGAAGCCGUGCUAAUUGAGUUUUGUUUUUUUUUAUAUAUUAAAAAAAAGCUGAAGGGAAUAAGGGUUGUUUCAGGAUACCAUAUUAUCCAAAAGCUAGAUUGAUUGGGGCCAGUAAAAUUAUAUAAAAAAGUGGAUAUAUAUAUAUAUAUAUAUAUAUAUAGAAAUAGAGAGAGUAUGCUAUUAGUAAUACAGAGGUCUUUGUAGUAUUAAGUUGUUUUCAAUAAUACGUCUUCCAAAUCGACGAUCGGCACCGGACUUAAUCUACAGUACUGUGGUUAGGAUGAUAGUGGUUUUCUAUACAGUUGAGUAGGUGGUGAAUAGUAUAAUCUAACGGAUUAAAAUGAUCACAGAGGUAGAUUUAAUGGUAGAAAAUUCGAUAACACCAAGCGCUUGCAUGAUACUAUCGAUAGUAUAGUAACCUAACUUUCUCUAUAUAUAUUGUAAUAUAAUAUUUUGAAUUAUUGAAUUUAAAAAUUAAAUAACACAUUGGCCAAUAGUAACCUGUGUGUAUGGUGGGAAGCAACAAUUGAAUAAGACAUGCAUAAUCCACCGAAUGAGAAAAUUUUGCAUGUUUUCUAUGCUUUUUUUUUCUUUUUUUUUUUCCAUUUUUGUACUAUAAAAUGGACCACAUAAAAUUGUGCAAAAAGCAGUUAGUAAAACUAACACCUUUGUCUCCACACAUUAUUUUGGUGUGAUACUCAUUUACUUUGACUCAAAACGUGACUAAUUUAAGCUAGACAUAUAGAGAGUGAAGUAGCUAAAAUACUACAUAUAUUUUUAAAUGUACAUUCGAAUCGAUGAUCCACUUUGUUAGAUUUAUUUAUAUUAUUUGAAAUAUUUAGAAGUCAAGUUUUAUAGGUUUUUGAUAUAAUUACCUACUGAUAGAAAGGUAUAAAAAAUUAAUUGUUUGAAUAAUUAAUGUGUGCAAUCAUAGCAAGCCUAAUAAUAUAGAGAUAUUCAAAUUACAUAAAAUUAAUUUUGAUAGAAUAUCUUUUCUAAUAUCUAAAAUAAGAUAAGUAUUUCUAAUCUAAUAUUCAAGUUUCCAUCAUUGCUUUUGAUGAGAUAUUUAUUUCCAAUUGUUCAUUUUGGGACUAUGCAAUUAUAAGAUAAAUAAUAUCAAAAAAUAUAAAAUUUAAUUUUUAAAUACUUUAAAUAGUGUAUAUCAAGUCUAGCGGAACGGAUCGUCGAUUCCGAUGUUCCCUAAUCGAAAAAAGUAAAAGCAUGGAGUUAUAUCUCCAAAUAUUCUUUACUAAUCUAUAUAUUAAUAUUAUUUUACCCAUCACCCAAAAAAAUAAAAAACAUUAUUCUUCUAUGACGUUAAUGAAACAACACGUGUAUACAAAAAUAUCCCUUAUUUUUUUUUUCUUUCCUUUCUACGAUUUACUUUUAGGUCAUUAUUACUAGAGGAAGUUCUCAAGCUUAUUGUCGAAAUAAAAGGAGUAAAAUUAGUAAUAAUAUAAUGAAGCCUUAUCUCUUUGAGAUAAAAGGUCGUAAUAAUAUUUACUCUUUAAAUUCAUUAUAUCAUGAUUGAUUUGAUAUUUCAUAUAUCUAGACCUACAUAUACAUUAACGAAUGAAUUGGUAAUAAUAUAAUGAGAACUAGGCUGGAAUACUAUCAAUAGCACUAAGUUGCUGGUGCUAUUAGUUUUUUAACCCUUGGAUUGAGAAAUAUAUGGUUAGGAUUAUGUGAGCCUCCUAGGAUUGAGUGAGUGAUUGGUUGAAUAGUAUAAUCUAAUGGGUAAAAAUAAUUAAAGGAUUAAAUUUAACGGUCGAAAACUCGAUAGUACAAAAUUUUUUGUGCUAUCGAUAGUAUCCCAGUCGGACUCAUGUAAUGAAACCUUAUCACUUUAAGAUAAAAGCUCAUAAUAAUAUUUACUCUUUAACUUUCUUAUUUCAUGAUUAAUAUGAUAUUUCAUAUAUCUAGACUUAUAUACAUUAAUGAAUUGGGUAUUCUAUAUCCAGAUAUACUCUAUUCGUUAUAUAGCACUUAUAACUAUAAAGAACUAGGCUGUAAUACUAUUAAUAGUACCAAGUUAUUGAUAGUAUUAAUUUUUUAGCCUUUGGUUUGGGAUAUGUGCGGGUAAAGAUGAUAGGGGCCCUCUAGGGUUGAGUCGGUGGUUGGUUGAAUAGUAUAAUCUAACAGAUAAAAAUAAUUAAAGGGUUAAAUCUAAUGGUAGAAAACUCGAUUGCAUACAGCUGAGAAAUAUAUUUUGUAAAAUUUUAUCACUUUAUAUAUGUAGUGAUAAAAUUACCUCCAAUAUAAAAAAAUUAAUUUAAGUUUAUCUUUUAUUUAAAGCUACUCUCUUGAGUUGCUGCUGCAGUUGGAUUGAAAUGUGUUGAAUCAAACGGCGGACUUAAAUUCGCAUGCAGCUACGUACAACUGCAGUACAAUUACAACGUACUACAUACAACUAGACAGUCCCUCGGUUUGGAUUAGGGCUUCCGGCAAUGAUUGUGCUGCGAAGCUGCGCUGAUCCGGCGGUUCGGCCGAGAUUGGGCGGCAUUGAUUGGGUCGAGCCGGAAUCGUUCCGGCUGUCGUGACCGAAAGAGGCAACUCACUGAGCAUGAGAAGAGCCUUUCGGAUUGAAGCCGUUAUCAGGUUCGUUACAGGGACUUGUCAUCAUCGCUGGCCUGCAGCCCCUCUUAACUCGUUGCCUUCAAUUGUCCAUGCCCUAGUUCUGUGGUCCGCCAUACCAGGCUGGGUACCAUGUACUUUUGCAUGUGUGACCUACGAGCCGUCUGAUUGGAUGUAAUUAUAAAUGCGAUAUACUUAAAUAACAUGUAUAUUAUUCCAUUCGAUGUAAUAGAAAAUACCAUAAUACCGUAAUAUUAAAAAAAAUACAAGUCAGAACUGUAUUUUUUUUUUUUUUUAAUUUUAUCACUUCAUACAGGGAUUGCUUGGCUUAACUUCGUUUUCAAAACCUGAUUCUGAUUUUUAGAAUCAAUUUUCUGAUUUUCGAGGUCCAAAAUUAGAAGCAGUUAAACCUACUUCUUGAAAUCUCAUACAUAUUUUUGGACUCAAACUUCAAAUUUUUAUUUUAAUUUUCAAUUCAAAGUUUAAAAUUAAAUUAAAUUUUAAAUUUUAAUUUAUAAAUUUAUUUUAAAAUUUUUAAAUUUUAACUUUUAAAAUUUAAAAUUUAAAAUUUAGUUAUUAAAUUUAAAUUUAAAUUUUCGAUCCAUCGCAACUCCGUCCCAACCUAUCAAGAAAAGAUACAAGGAGAUCUGACUGGGAAACCUCCAAUCUAUUGCUAUAUAUUAGUUUUGCCUUUAUCCAAUAAUAUUAUUUUUUAAUAUUAAAAUUUUUUUAAAAAAAUUUAAACUCCUGAAUGUAAGAUUGUAAUUUAUAGACAGAGAUAAAAAUAACACGGGUUGAGACUCCCCACUCAAAUCUUUUGGUCAAAAAAAUCGGUGGGGAAAAAAUAAAAGGUUAAUUUCAUACAGAUCUUUCUAGAUAUAGUGAAUUGCAAAUAUAUCUCUACAAAGUUCGACUUUCAUAUGUUGUCUCUACAAAAGUCCUAAUGUUUUCAAAUAUAUCCCUCUGAUUUUUUACCGUUAAAGUGCUGUUUAUUUUAUAGAGAAAAGAUCUUUUUACCGUUACAAAUAUAUCCCUUCAAAAAUCUCAACUGUUAAUUGAAGAGGAAUAAAAAGAUCAAUUCAUCUCAUUAAUUAACUAGGAUUAAAUAUUUAUCUAUGGUUAACUAAUUUUUUCUAAUGGCUCCUAACGGUGGGGACAUGUUUAAAAAUAUUAGAACUUUCGUAGAUACCAUAUAUGAAAGUUGAAUUUUAUAAAAAUGUAUUUAUAAAUUUUUAUAUUUGGAGGGAUCUAUUUGAAAUUAAUCGAAAAAUAAAAUAAGAUGAGAAAUAUAUUUGUAUGUGGGGGGCGAGGUGAUCCCGAGGGACUUGCCCCCCUCAUGCGGGACGAGAGCCCUCCGCACGAGGGGGGCUUCUGAAAUAUAUAUAUNAUAUAUUCUAAUUAUUUUGUUUUUAAAUAUAUCUUCGUAUAUUUCUUCACUAUUUAAAAAUAAUUUUAUUAUUAGUACCUGUUAAAUUAUCGUGUUAAAUCCGAAAUAAAUUUCUAUCAAAGCUAAAAAAAAAAAAAGUUAAUAUACUUAUUUUGUCUUUAACGUAAGGGCAAAUAAGAAAGUUAGUAACCGUAGAAAGUAUGUUUGAAAAUGCAAAAAAUUACCGACCGUCUCUAGAGCAAGUGGCAAAGGAUUAGGUGGUUGGUAUCCGAGACCUAAGUUCGAAUCCUAGUUGAUUCACAUUUCUAGCUAAGUUUAUUUCUAAAUGAAAUAAACGAAGUGGGUAACGCGCAAUCUAUCUCUCAAAAAAAGAAAAGGCAAAAAAUUAUCUAUUAAAAUACUUCUUUUGCCCUAUUUAAGAACAAAUAAAAAAAGUUGGUGGCGAUAGAGGAUUGUAUUUUAAAGGGCAAAAUAGUAAUUUUAUAGAGAUAACAUCGGUUUCUAACAGUUCACUAAUAGAAUUUAACUCUAUAAAAGUAUAUUUAAAAUAACUUGGAACGUUAAAAGGGUAAUUUUAUUAUUAGCCUUUUAAGAAAGUAAAUAAAAAAGUUGAAAACUUUUCAAGAGCACAUAAUCAAUUGCCCCUAAAAAGUAAGUAUAAACAUACCACUUCUUUUGCCCUAUUUAAGAACAAAUAAAAAAAGUUGGUGGCGAUAGAAGAGUGUAUUUUAAUGGGCAAAAUAUUAAUUUUAUAGAUGUAACAUCGGUUUCUAACAGUUCACUAAUAGAAUUUAACUCUAUAAAGGUAUAUUUAAAAUAACUUGGAACGUUAAAAGGGUAAUUUUAUUAUUAGCCUUUUAAGAGAGUAAAUAAAAAAGGUGAAAAUUUUUCAAGAGCACAUAAUCAAUUGCCCCUAAAAUGUAAGUAUAAACAUACCGAACUUAUUUGAACUAUGAGCCAUUUUUUAUCAAUUAUCUAACCUUUUAACAUUUGAUUCAAUAGCACUUUGAUUUCACAAUUUGAAUAAUUGGAUAGUAAAAUCAAAAUUUUGAAAAAUUAGGUAGCCAGUUCAAAAUGGUCCAAAAUUCAGGUAAGUGUUAUUUGUUUUUACCCUAAAAAAGUUAUCGCGGCUCAUAUUGUAUAUCUUACAUGUUGGGCACUGCUUUUGCUCUUGAUUGUAGCGAUGAUACGAAACAACCGAUUUUUCUAAAAACUUAUCUCUCAUGUUUGACUCUCUUUUUAAAUUUUAGUAGCAGUUUCUAAUAGAAUACUUUUGUUGAAUUAUGAGAAAUAACCAAUCUCUAUAAAGAAAAAUGCUAAGUCUACAACCAUGAAGGUAUUAUAAUCUAUGCCACCCUCAUCCAAUAAUGCCUUAAAAAAGUAAUAACAUUUAAUUUAUGAGAAAAAUUAGCCAUUGGAUGCGUUUGAUAUAGGAUCACAAUCUAUUUUGAGUUGUAAACUAAUUAGUGUUGCACUUCUCCAAAAGCUUAAAAGCUAUUAGAAAAUGGCGAUUUUAAGUUACAUAUUGAAAUGUCUACGGACCUAAAAUGUGAAAUUAAUUAAAUAUGAGAAAAUAAAUAAUAGGAGAAAUAUAGUGAAAUUCAAACUCGGGAGUAAGAAUAGAGUAGACUAGUUUGAUGCAGGGAAAUGAAUAGUGAUGAAACUCAAUGGGAUAUUUCAACUCAAAAUUUUCUAUUCUAAUACAAUAGUAAUUUUUUAUAUUUAUAUUUAAUAAGUUCGGCAAAAAAAUAAAAUAUAUAUAUAUAUAUAUAUUGAGCUUCUGCUAGGAAAAAUCAAAAAUAGAAUUUUGAGCUUCGACAACAGAAGCUUCAAUUUAAUGCUUUUUAGUUGCCGAUGAAAGAGAAAACUUGACAGAGACAUUUCUACUUUACUACCUAUUUUUUUUCUUAGUAGUACAGUUAAUAAGAUAAAUCUAAAUUUAUCAAACAACUUUUGUUAGUGUGACUUUCAGAUUUUUANAUAUAUAUAUAUAUAUAUAUUGAGAUUCUGCUAGGAAAAAUCAAAAAUAGAAUUUUGAGCUUCGACAACAAAAGCUUCAAUUUAAUGCUUCUUAAUUGACGGCACAAGAGAAAACUUGCCAAAGACAUUUCUACUUAACUACUUUUUUUUUUUUUAGUACUACAGUUAAUAAGAUAAUUCUAAAUUUAUCAAACAACUUUUGUUAGUGUGACUUUCAGAUUUUUGCUAUAAAAAGUAAUACUUGAGUGAAAACAGGCAUCAACAACAAUCAAUAUUAGUAAUAGUAAUAACACUAAUUAGUUAGUACUAAUGUAUUACUAAUUUUAAAUCGAGCAGCUGGUUAGAAAUAACAUUUGAGCCGGCUCGAAUUAAUUUUGAGUCAAAAGCGAGCUAGGUCUUUCCGCUCGUUUCAAUUUCGAGCCAAAGACGAACUAGUUCAAACUUUUUUCAAAUCGAUCUUAAACUGAUCUUAGCUAGCACAUGUCUAACUUGUUUACAACCAUGCAGUUAAGCGGUUAGUGUGGCACACAAAUUGCACGAAUUCUAUAAACACAUAACUAAAAAACUCUCAAAAGAAACAUGUUAGUGCACUAUAUGUCUGUUACUAUUAUACAAAUAAACAAGAGUGUACAAAACUUUUCCGAAAUAUUAAACGAAUAGAAUGGUAAAUGUUUUAUGCUUUUCAAAUAGAAAAAUUGUGUUACACACAAAAAAAAAAAAAAAAAAAAAAAAAAAAGCCACUAAAAUAUAUAAUAAUUUUUAUGGAACAGUUACUCAUUCCAAUUUCACUUAAUUCUCCCAGUGGGUAUACUUGAUGGGUCGCUUUAAUAACAUCCCUAGUCUUAAACGAAGCCCCCCAAAUCCAUGGGGUACAAACUCACAUGCACAUGCACUACAAGGAAAAGCACCCCAAGUCCCUCUAUCAUAAAUAGAAUCCCCCUAAACCCCCCUCAUUUCUCUCUACUCCUUGAGAUCUCCUUCGCAUUUCCAACAAUUCAAUCCUAAUUAAAAAUCUCAUCAGAUCAGUCACCGGCGAUUGUUCGAUGCUGUCGUCUCGAGAGAGCAUGCUGCCGUACCCGUCGCCGUGGCCGAUGCCGCCGCUGGCUGCCGACCGCCGCUGGAAGCCGAACGUCGAUCAGGCGCCGAACUGCCCGCGGUGCGACUCCGCGAACACCAAGUUCUGCUACUACAACAACUACAGCCUGUCGCAGCCGCGGUACUUCUGCAAGGCCUGCCGCCGCUACUGGACCAAGGGCGGCUCCCUCCGCAACGUCCCCGUCGGCGGCGGCUGCCGCAAGAACCGCCGCCCCAAGCCCAAGGUCUCGAACGCCGCCGGCCCCCGCAGCUUCGUCCGGCCCGACCUCGCGCUCGACAGCGCCGUGCCGGCCGACCAGCCGUCCGUCGCGACCGACGUGUCGGCGUACGAUGCCGGCAACGGCUCGUCGAUCGACCUCGCGUCGCUGUACGCCAAGUUCUUGAACCAGUGCCCGGCGGAAAACCCUGCUGCCGGAGCCGAGGAGCGAUUCGACGCAUUCUCAGGCUCGAGUCAGACCCAGAUUCAGGUUCAAAUGCCGAGCCUGCAGGACGUGUUCAUGGUCACAGAAGCAGAAGCAGAAGCAGAAGCAGAAGCAGAAGCAGUACAAUGCAGUGUUACUGGUCAUGAAGUGAGCUGCUUCUCUAGUACUGACCCUGUGAUGAGUUGUUGCUACGAGCCAUUAUCGCUUCCCAUUGAAGGUGUGAAUAAUUUUCUGACCGUUAAUCCGACGUUUGGGCUCCAACCUUUCGAAUCGUUUCCCGAAUUAGAGAGUAAUGGGUUUAGCCACAUGAGUUCUAUCAAUGGGGAUUGGAGUGCGUUGGAAUAUUGUUCAGGUACCCUAGAAGCUCUCUUUAGGCCCUAGUGAAUUUUUUCUUGCUUUUUCUUCUUUUUCUUCUUUUUUUUUUUUAGUUUUGAAAAUAAAAAAACAUGUCAAACACUAUAAACUUUGGCAUGGUUGUACUUAACCAUUCAAACUUUCAAAAUUAUAUAUAUAUAGAUAUAGUAAACUACUAUGCUAUUGCAAGUAAAGAAAAUAUAGUGCUUUCGACUUUUUGAUCCUUAGAUCAGUUCCUUUAAUCAUUUAUAUAUAAUCUUUAGAUUAAUACUAUUAUCUUGUUGGGAUCAUUCAACACUAGUGAUACUACUCAACCUUAAAGAAAAUCGUAAUCAUUUCGAUCAACCGUACAAUUCUUGAUCCAAUAAUCAAAAAAUCAAAAGCAUCAAAUCUUUCAUACUUCCGAUAGCAUAGUAGCUCUACACUAUAUAUAUAUUUAGAUGUUUCAACAUAUUUUUAUUUUUUUUUAUAAUUUUAUUUUAUAUUUUUAUAAUUAUAUAUGUAUAUAUGUAUGAAGAGGGUGGGGGAAGGAUAUGCAUGAAACUCCAAGCUCCUUCACAUGGGAGAGUUUAUGUAGUGGGGGGAUCGAUGAACACUUUGUGGUGCAUAUAUAAAGCGAGCAUAUAUAUGUAUAUAGAUUAAUAAAUAGCCACAAUAUUUUGGUGAUCGAUUGGUUAAUAAGUGUUUACACUUUUGUGUACCAUAAUGUUUUGUACAUUAGUUCCCCCAUAUUUUUUUAAUUUCCUUCAUUGAUAAUUGUUGAAAUGUAACUAACUUGGCUAGUGUACGAAUCUUUGGACUUUUAAGGUGAGAUGGUGUCAUGUGGACCCAAGGAUGAAUGGGCAAGGACACUCCAUGGACUAUGACUUGAAUAGCAUCAAGCCACAAAGAGAGAGAGAGAGAGAGAGAGAGAGAGAGGAUUGAGUAGAGAGAGAGAAGUUGUAUAGUGUAUGAUGCAUAGAAUCUAGAUAUGAGCUGUUAAUAGCAUUUAAAGUUUAUUUAAAAUUUAUACAUAAUAAUGUUUGACUGUCACAUAUGCAUGCCUACAUACCUAGUUAUUUCAUAGGCACUGCAAAAAAGAGAAAAUAAAAUUAUGUAGAAAAUUAUUUAUGACUAUUUGAAUUUUCUCAGUAUAAAUCUUAUUCCGCGGGAUAUUUUUUUUCAUUCGUGGUAGUUUUGCAGUUUUUCUAUAUCCAAAUUUAUAUUAAAAAUUUUUAAAUGAUAUGAAGAUAUCUGAUUCAUGUGAGGCACUUAAUUUCUUAUGACGACCAAUCUUUUGAAGAUGAGAUGCAAAACUGGAUAACGAUUUCGUUCCAGUUCGGAGAGGAUGUUGUGGAUGAUUUGGUCUCAUGCAGGAUGUAAAUUAAAACUGGAACGAAUCAAACCUAAUUGAAAUUAAGUCAAUUAAAACCUAUUUAAAGCGAUUUGAACUUAGGCUCACUAAAAUUAAUGACCAUACUUUGCGCUGAGGUGUUCGUUUUUAGACGCACAGCCCCAAUUCGCACUAUAACAGAAUUAGGUUAUAGGGACAUAUGUUUGGAACACUUUUGAGUAAGUGUCUCAUUUAUACUAAAACUUAAAAACACAUCUGCUAAUGCCUAAAUAUAAAGCCCAAUCCAACCAAAAAUAAAAGAUUACUCUACUCAACCCACCACACCUAGUCCAUUUAGCCCGAUUACAAACAAAAAAGAAAAAAAAAAAAAUCAAUUACCAUCUUUUCUUCUCUCUUCACUCAAUCCACUGAAAUUUUAGACGAAGAGCCUUUACUGUCGUCCUCCUCCGCCACCGCAACUAACGAGAUAGAGUUUCGGCGGUUGCUAAAUGCUUAAAUAAGUGUUGGUAAAUUAGCAGCACUCUUUUAGGUUAUAGCGACACUCUUUAAUUGUCACUAUAUACCUAGCAACCCCACAUAUAGCAACACUUUUUAAAAGUGUCGGUAAUUUUAGCUAGCAGCAAUUUUUUGACAUGUAUCUAUAUUUAAAAGUGUUGUUAUAGAACGUUUUUGUUGUAGUGUCGAAAAUUAAUUUUUAAGCUGGAAGCCAUGCAUGAGGCGAAUUGGUUAGCGAUUCAACAUCAUUUUUCAGAAUUAAUUUCAUCAUUUUGACCUCCUAAUCAUCAAUUUUAAUUAUACUUCACUAUUCCUUGGGGAUGGCUAUAAUAUCAGGCUUUGGACCGACAUCUGGAUCGGGGAGACCUCUUUACGCACUCUGUUCCUCCGUAUUUUCGAUAUGGUGGCUAAGAAGGAGGUCAGAGUGUCCCAGUGCUGAAACUCUAACGAAUGGAGAUGGCACUUCAUUUGCCGUGGUUUUGUGGCGUCAAACUUCCCUGAUGGGAAUCGACAAUUGCUGAUGUUCAAGGACUGCCUCCAGAAUGCCUCUUCUAGCCUCGGGUCGGACUCCAUCAACUAGCGGUGGACCUUUAAUCAAAUGUUCACCGUCAAAUCCUUAUACUCUUUUCUUUCGCUCACCGGAUUUGUUGACCCGUUCUGUCUAUAUAUCUGGAAGCUACGGAUUCUAUUAAAGAUCAAAAUCUUCAUCUGACUACUACUUCGAAAGAGACUCCCCACUGCUGACAGACUUCUUCUUCGCAGACGGGUUGGGGAGCCUCACUGCAUCUUCUAUGCUGUGGGCAUGAAAAACUGUGACCACCUCUUCCGCAACUACGUCUUUGUCAAAUACCUACUUUAUUGCGCACACGCUUUGGAAACACUUUUAGAUUCUUCGGAGGAUGCUCGAAAUCUUUGGAGUACGGCCAUUAGCGUUACUAAUAAACUUGAAAGACUAAAAGGUCUAACAUUACUAUCCGCUACCUGGUCGGUGGUUUGGACCGAGCGGAACAAUACCACCUUCAGGAAGAAACACUCCAAUCCCUCCCACUCUCUAGAACGUGUCGUCCUUCUCCUGAACUUGUGGGACGAGCUCCGUUGACAGACGUUCCUGUCCGCCGGAUCUUGCCUCCCGCCGCGCUUCUCCGACUCUCUUCCCUAGACUCUUCUUUUUCCUCCCUCUUCACCUUAACACUUCUGCUUUCGUAUUUUUUUUGUACUUUUUUUCUUUGUUCGCUUUUCCGUUUUCUUCGGAACCCCCUGCUGCUUCAAUAAUGUAUGCCUAGUUCAAUUUGCUUAACGAAUGAAGUGGGUAGCUUGCUAUAUUUUUUUCAAAAAAAAUUAUACUUCACUAUUCUAGCUAGUAAAAAAAUUAUUUUAUUCCAUUUUUUUUCUUAUUUUAGUUUAAAUUAAGUUAGAACUUUUACAUUCAUUCUACUUCGAUUAGUUUUAUAAUGUAUAUUUUUAGAGAGUUUUUUUAUGGGACGAAUCUAAAAAUCGCACUUAUCCCUUUUUUUAAUUUUUAAAAAAGAAUUGUAUCACUUUGCAAGAAACAUCAUUUUUGCCUUAUUGCAUGGCACAUGCACUUUUCAAUUUAAAUAUGGUGGCCGAUUCAAAGGACUCUCUACCACUAAAUUUGCCUUGUUUUAUUAAGUAACGUUCACUUCUAUAAUUUGUACCCAAAGACAUUCCAAAUUCAAAUCCUAAUUGAUUUAUAUUUUUAACUAAAUUUAUUUUUUAAAAAAAAUAAACGAAGUGGGGGUAGCAUGCUAGCUUAAUUUCUCUCUAAAAAAAAAAAAAACAUUCACUUCUAUAAUUUGUACAAAUAGUUUUUUUCUGCACUAGAAUCCAAAACAAAAUGGAAUUUUACUUUGUGAUUUAGAAUUUCAUUUUCGUAAAAUUGUACAGAACUUAUCUGAACUAUGAAUUAUUUUGAGUCGAAAAAAUAAUCUUUUAAAAUUUUGAUUUUACUAUCCAACUUUUAAAUUUGCUUGAGUUGAGUCAGUCAACGACACUUUGACUUUGACUUUUGAAUACUUCAUUUAUUUUUAUAAAUUUAGUUAGUAUAUUAAAGUAAGCAAUUAGCUUAAAUGUUGAAGUUAAAGUGUCGUUGACUGAUUUAAAUCAAAUAAAUUAAAAACUUGGAUAGUAAAAUUAAAAUUUUGAAAAGUUGGAUAGUCGACUCAAAAUAGUCUAUAGUUCAUAUAAGUUCUGUACAGUACUUUUACCUUUCAUUUUUCUACUUUGGCCUAGUUUGAUGAUUUGGUGGUUAAAACCACCAAUUUAGUAUUUUAAAAUGUCUAAAAAUUUUAACACACUUCCGGUCUUUUCUUUUGCGGGAAUACGUAAUUGAAUGUGCCUAUCUACUAGUUCUCUAGUAGCGAUUGCCACCAUAAUUUUAUAGUAUAAAGAAAAAAGAUGUGAAUUGCUUUAAAAUUUUUGAAACAUUCAAACUACAAAAUAGAUUCUUUUAAUCACCACAUUACCAAACUACCAAACUUUAAUUAGAUUGCUUUAAAAUCUACUAUUUGUGGAAAAUGCAAGUUAUCUAAUUUAAUUGCAGUGCCAAAGAUUAAUAUAUUUACUAGUGCACCUCCUUAAAUUGGUUAAGCUAUAAUUGGCGGAGUUGAACUUAUAUGAAGAACGCACUAACAAAUUAAUCUGUAAAAAAUUUCGUGCUGACAGUUUAUCUUGACUGAGCAUCUUAGGUUUUUACAGUGGAAUUAAUGAGAGAUUGUAUUUAAAUUAAAGCGAGAUACAUGAUCAAAAUGAGCCUUUAUAGAAUAGUUUGUUAAUGUGUCUUUUACUUUAGCUGCGCUAUUUCAUAAACUCUUCGACAAAGACAAUAAGCUCCACACCCUAUCCUUAAUUUGUUAUCUACUACUGUGAAUGGCUUCGUAAUUUUCUCUUUUUAUGUGUCCUUAUCUCACUACAACAGUAUUAGAUUAAUGGGAUAAUUUCAUCAAUACCCUUCUAAGAGAUAGGAAUUUCAUAAAUGCCCCUAUAAAUUACAAAAUAUCAGCAAUACCCCUCUAUAAAACAAAAAUAUUCACAAAUACCCUUAAGAUUAACAUUCCGUUAAAAAGUCAUCUAAUAUUCUGUAAAUACCCAUUUUACCCUUAUUAAUUACUAAUUUAACUAAGUGUAAUAAUUUAAGAUUAAUUACAUGAUCAAGAUCAAUUCUUAACCUUUCAAUCACAUAAUAAUUCAACAUUCUUUUUAAAAUUUUACAAUUAAAUAUCUAUAGUCUAUUAAGUGUAAUAAUUAAAUCUUGUUAUAAUUUUUCGCAUGUAAAUUAUAUAUAGUUGUAAUGCAAUAUUCCAUUGUAAUAUUCAAUAUUAAUUUCAAGAUUUAAUUUUUUUGAAUUUUAUUUAAAUAACUCACAUAAGUCAUACAAAAAAUGUUUUGAUAUAAAUUUUUUUUGAUAUUAGUAUUUUUCAUAUGACCCAAUCAAGCAACAGUUUUUUAAUUGCACAUUUAUUGUCAACAAAAAAAUAACAUUGUAUGAAGACCCGCUCACCCAUUAGUCCACUUUGGCAUGGCCCUAGCUUUGAAUAAUAUAUAUAUAUUAUUAAUUGAGCUCCUAUAUUUUUAAAAGUAUCAAGUUAUUAGUGGUUGUAGAUUUGUGUCCAUUGGAUUAAGAGAUGUGCGGUUAGAUGAUGUUUCCACAUAUUUUAUCUACCAAUAAUUAGUACUAAAAAUAUUAUUUUUAAAAUUUGAAGGGUAUUUAUGAAAUUAUUUCUUUAUUAGUUGCUGUCAAAAGAACACCCCAACCGAGGGUAAAUUAGUCAUUUUAUAACCUAAUCUUAACGUCCGUUAGAAAAAAGGGUAUUUGUGAUAAUUUUCUACAUUUGAAGGGGUAUAUAUGAUAUUUUCAAUUUUAUAGGGGUAUUUACGAUAUUUAGAUAUUUAAGAGGGGUAGUGGUGAAAUUGCCCCUAGAUUAAUCAUAGGGAUAAAUUUUUCGGACACUUUUGUGUAAAUGUCUUAUUUAUGCCAAAUUUUUUUAAAAAACUCUACUAAGUUCUAAAUAUAAAGCCCAAUUCAACCAAAAAUAAAAAAAUUUCUCUACUCAACUAACCCCACCCAGCCCACUCAGUUCAAUUACAAAUAGAAAAGAAAAAAAAACUUUGAUCACCAUCUCCCCCUUUUCUUCUCCGCCGCCACAGUUGACGAGUUAGGGUUCUGGCGGUUGGAGUUCAGCUGCGAGAAUCUCACAGGAACCGUAGAAGAUUACGAUCGCCACGUGUCCUUUCGCCGCAAGUCGCUAGAAGAGUGGGUGCCAAACCUCGAGGCGGCCCCGCAUAUAGCGAUUCCACAUAUAGCAAUAUUUUUAAAAAGUAUCGAUAAUUUAACCAUCAAUAUUUUUUUGACAUGUACCAAUAUUUAAAAAGUGUCGUUAUACACCGUUUUUAUUGUAGUGUCUUCGAAAAUCAUGUGGAUCUUAAAUGCUAAUUAAUUAUUCUAAAAGCACUUGGUAAUAAGAAAGGCAUAUUUAUUACAUUUAAAAGUUCAGUCACGGCGCUCACGAGCUUUAACCUGACUCGAUCCAUCUGAAUGUUAGAUCUAUUGUUGGAUCUCUUACCGUCAGGUCUAUUGUGAAUCACAGUUCCACUCAAUUUAUUACAAGUUUUUUUUAAUUUAUUAUCACGAUUCAGAAAGUUGGAUCUAUUUUUCCACAUAAUUUAACAUCUUCUAAGUUUGUAUUCUGGAUCCGCCCUUGCAGGGGCUUUCACCACCACCACUACCAACCGUGUCAUUAGGCGUCUUCCGUGGCGAUAUUAACUGGCUCGAACCAAAUUAGAGUGACUCUUAAUCAAGCUAAUUAAACCUAUUAUCAAGUUCGACCCGGUGACGCGCACACGAACACGUGACAAAUAUUAUUAUAUGCUAGAUUAAGCGUAUAAGUUUUUGCAUGAUACGCGGGUGGACUAACAUUUGUAGUUGUACUAAUAUAAAAAUUAAGGUGUUAAUACCUGGCACGAUUUUUGACGUGAUCAUGAGCAUAAUUUUUGCGCUAAUUACCAAUUUUAUGCGUCUGCAUGGUUUUGACUUUUUUUUUCUUUUUUUUUUUUUUUUGGCUGAGGGGAGAAGCAGAAGCACUUGCUCUAACAAGCGAUCAAUCUUGGGAUUCGCGACAUACCUCUCAGCAUGCAUGAGCAUUUAUUAAGAAGCAGCGUUUUGUACAGGAUCCAAGACUAAAAAAAAAAAAAAAAUUAAAAGUGCAUGAUCCAAGGAAUUAUAGAAUAUAAAUUUGUGACCCCGCAUUUUUCAUAAUCAUUCAUUUUAAAAUUAUUCUAGCUCUAACAAGUUUAGUUUUUCUAAUAUUUUGUGUCUAAUCACUGUUUAAAAUAUUAUAGUUGUGUUAAAAGAUUUAGUCUUAUUAUAAAUCUCAUAUAUUGAGAGUGUCACAUUUCUCCUCCUUUUAAACCCUAAAAAGUUUCCGUCAAGCUCAAACAUAUUCACAAGUAUCAGGCAAUGUUGGACUCGUCUCGUUAGCCAUUAGCCCACCUUGUGGGAAGUUGCGUUUCACCCAUAUAAUCAGUCGGGGAGCAACACUCCACUCACUAUAUAAUUCUACCUCAGCCAAGUAUCAUCUCACUAGUGAUUGACUCUGAUACUAUGUGUAAUGUCCUACUUUCCAGUGGGUCAUCCAUUCUAGAAUAAUUCAGUUCUAACGCGAUUAACUCUCUUAACUUCUUUUGGUUCUAAUCAUCAUCUAAAAUACUAUGGUCGAGUUAAAAAUUUAGCACGGUUAUAUCUCAAAUGUAAGAUUAAAGAUGUCACAUAAUUAUUAGUUGUAACUAUGAUUGCCACAGAUAUUUGGUCAUAAACCUUAAUUACUAAUAUAUAUGGCACAAAUCAAUGUAGAUUUUAUGUUAAAAUCCUUCAUAUGGUUUAAACCAAAACUCAAAUUUAUAGCUACCAUUAGAAGUAAAUGUCGUUAUUGUGGCGAAAUAAUCUUGUUUAACCUCUUAUCAAUGCGACAUUUGUUAAAUUAAAAAGUUUAGAAAUGCUAAUGUGAAGAGAAGUUAAAAAUUGAUUACUUAAUAUUUCAUUUCACAACACUUCAGAAACGCUUAUGUAGAAAACUCCAAUCAAUCUAAACUGGUCAUAAUUAAUCGUUUUUCUACUAAAUAAAGGUCAAGUAUUAAUUAUUUUUUAUAUUACUUCUUUUGCGCGUGCACAUUGAUCAUUUGAGUUGGUACGCUCUAAUUAAGCGAAAAUAAAUGCACAAAUGGAAACUUCUUAUAGCAACAACGAACUCCUUGAAGCUUUGUAAUUAAUUAAACUUAUUCAAAGGGUCAAAGGGGUGAUCACCAAAACUAUUUUAACCUAUAUAUACAUAUAUAUAUAUAUAUAGUUAGGUGGAGUUCAAAUAUUUUAGCAUUAUAUUACCUCGAUAUUAGGGUAAGAUUGUUCCUGGUGCUUAAGGCAACAUCAUUUCAUGCAUGCAUGUGACAAUAUAAGUGCUUAAUUAAUUAACGUUUUACUAUAUAUAUAUAUAUAUAUAUAUAUAUAUAUGGGUCACAUAAUAUUAAUUUAAUUGCAUGAUGUAUAUAGAAUAAAUUAACUAGGGCCUGUGGAUUUUUUACUAAGCACUUGUGGAUUGUUUAGGGAAACAUUUUGAUGCGUUCAUAUUGAUCAUUAAACUUUAAUUUGUAUUAAUCAAACCAAUCAACUUUAAUUAAUUUCUGUUUCAAUAAGGGUCACUUUGUUUAAGAAGUAAUAGCUAUUUUGUUUAUUACAUUUCAUGCAUUCAAGGAAUUUAUGCAAGGAUUAAUAAUUGCUUUUGACUACAAUAUAAAAGUGCUUAAUGUAAUAGCAAACUAUGGGUGUCAUGCAUGGAAUAUUUAAUUAAUGUUUAACUAUGAAUUAGAAGUGUUUGACUUGCGACUUCUAGGUUGUUUAGGGAACAUAAUUAAUUAAUGUUAAUAUUUGCCAUUAUUGAAGAGAAUUUUGGUGUGAUUUCCAAUGCAAAUCAAGUGAAAUAAAAAGGGUAAAAUACAGAAAACCUCCGGUAAAUACCUGCUUUUUCAUUUCUCCCCUUGAUUUUCAAAAAUUUACAGUUUAGCCUCUCAAAAUUUCAAGUUGAUACAUUUAGCCUUCCCUCCGUCAAGGUUCCAUCAAUAUUCUGUCUUUUUUAUAAUUUAUACUGAAAAUGUCUUUGAAAAUGACAGAAAUAUAUCAACAUUUUUUUUUUUAUUAAACUCAUUUCACCCUCUUCAUUAGCGCCAUAACUUCUGAAAAUAUUUUUUAAAUUUUAAAGAGAUAAAAUAUAGAUUUUUGAAAGUCACAAAAAAAGAAAUUCUGUAUUUUAGCCAAAAUAAAAUAUACCUUGUAACAUGCUAAGAUGAAUAAAUUGGGUUUUUAUUGGUGUAAAUGGCAACCUUGGGCAUUUCAUUUGUUGGGUCACAACACUAAGAGAAUAUAAAAAAAAGGCCCAAUUUGCCUAAUUGCCUAAACAAUUGUAUAGCGUGCUAGGUCGAUUAUUUUGUCUGGUUUCUGAAACAACUUCUUUUAAAUUGUUUAGAGAAAUAGAAAUACAAUAUUUCACUUUAAUAUUUCUUGGUUGUUAAAAAUGGAAAAAAAAAAAAAACUAAACUAUUCUUGAGAAGUUUCUGGGAAAUUGAGGCACAUUUAUUUGUUUUAAUUUAGUUCUAUGGGCUUGGGCCCAUCCUUUAUUUUGCUAUUGGGCCUAUGGUUCACUUAUAACUAAUGCAUGCAAGUACCAAGCUAUUGGUGCUAUUAGAUUUUCGACCAUGAAAAAAUAUACGGUUAGAAUGUUAUUGGUUUAAUAGUAUAAUAUAACGGAUGAAAAUAGUCUAGUGGUUAAAUCUAACGGCGGAAAACUUAAUAGCACAAAAUGCUUGGUGCUAUCGAUAGUAUCCCAGCCAGAAUCUCUCUCUCUCUCUCUAUCUAUCUAUCUAUAUAUAUAUAUAGUUGGACUGGGCUACUAUUAGUAGCAAAAUUUCAUUGUUGCUACCAGUUUUUUAGCCUUUGGAUCAACUCUUUUCAUUAUUUCUAACCAUUGGAUUAAAUACUAUAACCCAAUGGGGACCACUCAACCCUAGGAGGACUACUCAACUCUAACCAACUAAUAUUAUUCUGACCUUACAAUAUUUAAUCUAAGGGUUAAAAACUUGAUAGCAAAAAGAGCGAUUUACUAUUAAUAGUAUUCCAGCCUAAUUCUAUAUAUAUUAUGCUGAUACAAACAAACAUCUAAAUAUGUACCUUAUCCGGAUCGAAUGAACUAAAAAAGUGGAGGUUGCACUUAUUUCAGGUCUAUCUCCUAACUCUGCCAAUUCCGAGCACGAGAGAGAAAUAGAGAGGGACACUAGUGAGUUGUUAGGCUUAGCCGCUUUCGUAAUAUAGCGCGUAGAUCUAACUAGAAAUUUGAAAUUUGAGUUUGAUCCGACAACAAAUACUAAGAGUGACCUAUGUGACCGUCUCGAAAGGCAUUUGACAAUUAUGCCCUCUGCAGGUAGUGAUGUAAAACGGGUCGGGCGGCCCCCCAACACGGAAAAAUUCUAGAAUGCAACGGGUAUAUUGGUGACGUGGCGUAACAAACCAAUCAAAAAUUUUCUUUUAAAGAUAUAUGUCCCAUCAUGAUUAUAAAAAGUUUUUUUUUUUUUUUUUUUGUUUGAAAAGAAGAAAGGUGAUUGGCUUGUUAUUGAUGAUGUGGUGUAAGUGUGAUAGUGUAAAAUUCCUCCCCAACAUGAUUAUGUACAACUUCUGUCGGCCCAGCACGGCGUGACCCGAAAUGGGCCCCGUCGUGCUGGGCCGAGGGUUUGGCCCAUGGCUCGGCACGGCAUGGCCCAUAUGUGGCCCAUGCCGCUGGGCCAGCAAGGCCCAACUCCAAGGCCUGGACCUCUGGGCAAUAAUUUUUUUAAAAUAUAAUUUUUCAAAUUUAAAACUUUUAUUCAAUUUUUUUAAUUCUAAAAUUUUGUUUAACUAUAUUUUUCAAUUUAUUUUUUAAAUUCUAUCCUAAUAAUUUUUAAAAUUUUAUAAAUUUUUAAAAAAAUUUAUUCAAAUAAUUUCUAUGCUUUAAAAUUUUCUCCAAAUAAUUUUUAACUCCUAAAUUUUUCAAAAAAUUAAUUUUUUUUAACCAUAGUGCUCCUCUAAUAGUUGAAAACAUCUAAAAGUAUUUUAUUUUUAAAAUUUUUAAAUAUAAAAAUUUUAAAAUGCAAAAAAAAGAAAAAAUACUAGGCCAAACACAGCCCGACCCGGCACGGCCCGUGCCAUUUGAGAAUGGUUCUUGCUGGGUCAGAGGUCCGAAAAGUUCAGCCAGCCCCGGGCUGUUUUGCCCCCCAAUAUGUUGGUCGUGCCGGACCGACACGACCCACAUUACAUCCCUCUAUAGUUGGAUAUUUGUUUUUUCCUAUUAUUAUACCGUUGGUAAGUACGUACAGAACAUGUUUGAACUAUCGUCCAUUUUGAAUCAGCUAUUCAAACUUUCAAAAUUUUAAUUGUGCCGUCUAAUCUUUUAAUUUGUUUGAUUUGAGUCAGUUAACGGCACUUUAACUUCAAAAUAUAAGUAAAUUACUUAUUUUAAUAAGUUUUAUAGGUAUGAGAAUUGAAUAAAGUAUACUAACUAAACAUGCAAAGAUAAAUAACCUAUUUAAAUUUUAAAGUUAAAUUGCCAUUGACUAACUCAGAUCAAACAAAUUGAAAGGUUCGACAGCAAAAUCAAAAUUUUGAUAAAUUAGAUAGCUAAAUCAAAAUAGUUUAGAUAAAUAGCGUUGUCCAAAUUGAAAGAUUCUCAGUGCAUGCAUUUUGACAAAUAGUGCUAUACCUUAUUAAACAGGCACAUAAAAAUAAAUAAAUAUAAUAUAAUAUAAUAAAUACUAAAGAGUCUCUGAUUUAUUUGUUUACCCCUCCUCCCUAACCAUAAUAAUCAGCACUAUCGGAAACAAAGAAAAAGGCAAACGUUUCUCUCUCCCCACUCACGUAUUAAAUUAUAUGAAACAAUUAUUUAUUCAGACGUUUAAAAGUUUGUUGGAUUUCUCAAAAAUUAUUAAAAACUAGUUUCACAUAAAAAAGUUCUCUAGUCUUCAUUUUCUAGUUAAAAUUUUGAAAAAAAAAUGAGAAGAGAUUUUUUCUUUUUUCGUAAAAUUUAACAGACAAAAAAAAUACUUUUCUAACUAUUUUUAGAAUAUUUGAUGAAGAAGAAAAUAUUUGUUGGAGAACGAUAUUUUUAAUAUUUAUAUUCAAUUCAUUUUAGAACAUAAAGUAAUCAUUUUUAUCCCAAUAUAUGGGCCAGUUGUGUUUUUAUUUUUUUAUCCAAAAUUUCCCAUUGUGAAGUUCUUUAACAAUUUGAUAUUUCGCAUCUGUACUGCUGUCCUUGCGCCACAAUCUUCUUCUUUUUAUUUUUAUUGUUUUUUUGAGAGAGAUAGGUAGCACGCUACCCGCUUCGUUUAUUUUAUUUAGAAAUAAACUUAGCUGAAAAUGUGAAUCAACUAGGAUUCGAACUUGGAUCUCGGGUACCAGUCAUCAAGCCCUUUGCCACUUGCUCUAGGGACGGUCGGUCGCUUUUUAUGUAGUUGGUUCCGAAAAAACACCAAACAUAUAAUGAGGGAUAUCAAUGGUCAUGGAUACCUAAGUUUUUUCCCGCGGUUUUAACUAUAAUCUAAAUGGAAAUAAUUUCGAUGAUGCUAAAACGGACAUAUUGUAUGUCCAGUCCUCAAAUUAUAAGUCAGGCAAUAUUUGUUAGCUUAAAGUAGUCGGCAUUCUGUCCUGUGUGACGGAAAACUCAAUUUAAUUAAGUUUCACAUCACUUUUACAUUAAUAUUUCGUCACUAUUUAAUUAAUUAAAUUAAGUUGUGAAACUUAAUUGCAAAAUUCUUAAAGUUCGAACUAGAAAUUAUCACAAAUUAAAAUUUGAGGACCAAAGUGCCACUCGUUAUAUAGUUUGAGGACCAAACGCGCGAUUCUAUCCAAAAAAAAAAAAAUCAAAACUGAGCAACUAUGAAUCAUGUAAUUUCCAAAUGGUGAAAACGUACACAAUUUAUCCGAACUAUGAAUUAUUUUGAAUUUGUUAUAUACCUAAUCUUUGAAAAUUUAAUUUUUAUACCCAGUAUUUUAAUUUGUUUGAUUUAAAUCAGUCAACUGUACUUUAGCUUCUAAAUUUGAAUGCAUUGUUUAUUUUUACAGAUUUAACUAGUAUACUUAAUUCAAUUUGACCAAUUAUCUAUUUAUUAAAAUAAAAUAAUUAGUUUAAAGUAAAAGUAUCUUUGGCUCAAACCAAAUAAAUUGAAACAUUGGCUAGUAAAUAAAAUUUUUAAAAUGCUAGGUUGUAGGUUCAAAAGGACCCAUAAUUCAGAUAAUUUUGUAUAUUUUUACUUUUCCGAAUCGAAUCCAAACCUUGAACAAACUCCAAAAUACAUUUAGAUUCAUAUAUAAAUAAAUUGAGGCCAUUUUAAUAAAAGUUGCAACUCAGUUCGCUGUUCACGAGCUAGCUCAUAUUCGCCUCAAAAUGAGCUCGAAAUUGGUCGAGCUCGUGUUCGGCUCAACAUAGCUUGUGUGUGUGUGUAUAUAUUAUAAAUCUCUACUAUUUGGAUUUUUCGCUGACUCAAAUACAAAGAGGCUUAUAUUUUGUGAAUUUCAAUUAUUUGAUUAAGAAUUUUUUUAAAAAAAAACUUUUCAUUCAGUAGUAGGGCUGACAAUCUAAUUUGUUGUUCGUAAGCCAGCUCUUGAUCGACUCGUUAAUAAAUAAGCUGAACAUGAGCUAAAUUUUUCAACUUAAUUUUUCAACGAAUCAACUUAUAUUCAACUUGUUUAAUAAACGAGCGUGUACUAGCCGCCCCAGCGUGCUCGUGUUUGACUUAUCACAUUAAAUGUUGCUAAAUUUUGCUUUUGCUACUUGAGAAUGGAUGGAUGGAGUUUAGAAGGCCCCACUUGCAUUUCAAGAGUUAAUAUGUUAGACAUUUCCUUGCUAUUAUUGGUAUGUUCUAAAUUUGACCAAUUUUAAUUUAAUUACCUACCAAUAUUAGACUAUUAAUUAAUGGAUCUAGAUCUAAUAUGAGGGGUGAAAACUGGUUGUAUAUUAUUUGAUCCCACUUGGCUCCAAAUCUGAAAAUUACAGUACGCAAAUUGGGUUUAGGCAAUCCAAUUCAGAUUCAGACUCAGAUUCAGAUCUUGAGUCGACAAUUUUUUAUAUUCGAAAUUGGAUUCAGAAUCAAAUUUAUCAUUCUUCUUUGGAUUCAAAUUUAGAUAUCGAAUUAUUCGAUUCAACAAAAACUAAUUUUAAUCUGUUUUCUGUAUACAACAUUCUUGAUGAGAUUAUUAUUAUUGGUAUGAAUUGAAUAAUAUUUAUCCAAUAAGACAUGAUGAGAAACUCCUCACAGCUCACAAGACAAGUCAAAAUUUUAUUUUGUAUAUGAUGUGUAACUUAUAUUCCGUACAUGAUUGUUUGGCCUUGUUUUAAUUUUUUAAACUUCGUACAAUAAAUUGCAGUUAGGCCAAAAUUUAUGUAAUUUUUACGACAUAUUUUCUUAAAAGAAUUCAUUUUCAAAACUUAUAUUUUCUGCUUACCAAAAAAAAAGAAAAAAAAUUAUGAGUUUUACAGUUUUAGCUACUUUUAGAUUACGUUACGGCUAUUUCUAGUGUAGGAAAGAGACUAAAUUACCGAAAAUUUUCUUGUUGAAAUCUAAUUUUUCACCUUUUUUUUUUCUAUUAUUUAGAAAUCUGUACUUUGCCCCCUUGUAAAAUGAAAAAUAUUUUCAUUAGGCUUUCGUUAUAAAAUAUUUUUUUAUACCAAAAAUACCCCCCGCCCUCUCUACUUUUGCUCCGCACUCCUCCGUCUCGCCACCUCGCCCUCCUCCACUGCCUCGCCCUCGCCCUCGCCCACAUCUCCGUCCGCGCCCACAAACACCCCCUCGCCCUCCUCCGCCGCUUCGCUUUCACCCUUGUUGCCCUACCCACCUCUCCAUCCACGCUCAUCUUGAUUUUCUCCCUAGUGUCACCGAAAUGGAGGAACGACAAGGGUGUAGGAGGAAAAGGAGAACAGGUGGAGAAGAAAAUGGAGAGGAACUGCGGCCGAUCGAGGCGCGAACCGCGGCCAAUCGAGACGGCGGAUGAGCAAGAUGAACGAGGAGACGAAAAUGGUGAGGGACAAAAUAGUCAUUUUGUCAUCACAGUUUAGUUUACACCGUACCCCUGUGAAUAUUUUUUAUUUUAUAAGGGAACAAAGUGUAGGUUUUUUAAAUAACGGGAGGAAAAAGUGAAAAAUCGAAUUUUGACAGAAAAAUUUUAUAUAAUUUAGCCUAGGAAAGAUAAGAAUUAGAAGUUUGAAGAUUGAUAAAGAUUUUCUCCCUAUGGCUAUUGGCUAUCCUUCCUUUUAUAAACAUAGAGAUUUUCACAAGAUAUUUACACCCCAUUUUUAGAACGAUUCUUUAAUUCUUCACUUAUUUCCCAAAUCUUCGGCAUUUAUUGUUUGAAUUUUGAAUUUUUAAGUGCACUUCUAAUUUUCACUUUUUAGAUCUCAUCGCAGCACUUAUCCAAAAUAACUUUUGGCAUGCUCCUUAUAAGCGAAAUUAAGCCUUUUUGCUAAAAGUACUAUCUAUAAUGGCUUUCCAUAUAUAAUCAAUCACCUACCGAAACUCAAAUUUUACGCUAAAGCCUUUCUUUGGCGUUACAUACGUCCCUUAUACUCGUUCGCAUAUUGGUGUCAAAAUUAUGUAUUUAUAAUAAGCACAAUUUAUUUAGAAAUAACAUAUCUAAUGCAUCAUUUAAAACUUAAAAAUAUCUUAUUUAUUCCCGAAUGACUAAAAUUUUCUUAUUGAUUUUUUUAAAAAAUUCCUCAAAUAUCCUCUUUUCCUUCUAGGUUUUACUUAUAGGAUUGAAUUUUAUAAGGAUAUUUUGAGUACUGAGGAAUAAAUUGAAUCCGGCUGCUAUAUUACCGGUAGUACAGAGGCCACCAAACUACCACUAAGUUGUUUUCAAUGAUGCGGCUUCCAAAUCGAUGAUCGGCUCUAUUAGACUUGAUUUAUACUAUUGAAAGUAUUUGAAAACUAAAUUUUAUAAUUUUUUAUUAUUUUUUACGUAUCAAAUGAGUAGUAUAAAAAUGAACAACUUAAAUUAAAAGUCUUAUAAAAUAAUGAUAAAAGAUUUGAAUUUAAAAUCAGAGGUAUCGAUCUUAAUCUAAAUAGUAAAAAAAAAAAUUAUAAAAACUUUAUCAGAUUUGAAUUGUUUUACACCGUUAAGUUUAUAAACGAAUGCAUCACAUCGAUCAUUAAAAUUAUCAAUUUUGAGACUUUUUGAUCACUAGUCAAAUAAUGUUGAAAAAUUAUGAAAUUUAAUUCUCAAAUACUUUUAGUAGUAUAGAUCAAGUCGAACGACGCGGAUCGUCGAUUUGAAAGCCGCAUAAUUGAAAACAACUUGAUAGCACGAAGACCUCCGUGCUACCGAUAGUAUAGCAGCCUAGCUCGAAUGAAUUUAAAAAUUUUCAACAAUAGCGAGGUCUAUCUAUAAAAUCAAAGUUCCCAUUCCCAUUUAUUUAUUCUACACACAAAAAAACAAACAAAAGGUCUAAUUAAGAUUCAGAUCUCCUAAUAGUACAGUGCUCACAUUUUCAACCCCUUGGAAACUCUUUCUGUCCACAAAAUAUAAAAAACCAAGAAGUGGAAACUUCUCGAUGCAGCGGCAGAGCAAUCAAUUAAAAAGGUCGGUGUUGGGACCAAAGUUAGACCAGUCAUACAGUGUGAGACAGAGAGAGAGAACUCAGAGAGAGACAAAUCCCAUGACCUAGAAGCUUACUUAGUUAUUAUGGGGAGUUGAAUANCACACAAAAAAACAAACAAAAGGUCUAAUUAAGAUUCAGAUCUCCUAAUAGUACAGUGCUCACAUUUUCAACCCCUUGGAAACUCUUUCUGUCCACAACUAAUAAAAAAGUCAAAUGAAAAGGUGCAUCACAUGCUCAAAUUCUUAUAAAAUUGUGGGCUAGUAGCUGGGGGGGGCUGGUAGGAAAAGUCAAAUGGAGAAAUGUACAUGGCUUGGGUUGGCUGGCUUUCAAUCCAAUUACAAGGGUAAAACCCUGUCGGCAUUCAACAAGCAGAAUCACCGACCGAUCAUACAUCGCGCAAUUGGCUGUGCAGAAUUAUCGAUCGAUCAUACAAAGCGUAAUUGACUGUGCAAAAUUACGUACCGACAGAUCAUACAUAACUUAGUCGACUGUGCAGAAUUACUGACCGAUCAUACAUAGCUUAGUUGAUUGUGCAGAAUUACCGACCGAUCAUACAUAACAUCGUUGAUUGUAAAUUUGAUGGUUAGUAUUUGAUUUUAUAAAUUAUAAAAAAUAAAUAAAAUAGAUACUUUAUUUUUUUUCUCUGACAAAAUACUGGUAUUCACCUCACCCACUUCAAAAUCCACCUUUUUUUUUUUUUGUUUUUAAAAAACUAAUGAGUGUGUUAGGUGGAUUAGACUUGAUUAUUUAACUCAAAAAUCAUAAGAAAAGGACUUAACUAUGUCCUGUAUUUAAAUCAUAACUAGCUCCGUGAGAUUGUAAUUAGGGAAAACUUCAAAAAACCCCCCGUGGUUUUGUAGUUUCUCACUUUGCCCCCCUGUAGUUUAAAAUGUAUCAAAUUGCCCCCUGUGGUUUCGUUUUUAUCUUUUCGGUAGCUUUUUCGUUAAUAUUUCAUUAAAUUAUAUUCAAAAAACUUCAGAUACCCAUCUAGAUUUAUCAAAUAUUCACUUUAGUACCCUUUAAUUUUCACUUUACCACUAAUUUAAGAAAAAAAAUAAUGAAAUUGAUAAGAAAAAGAGAAAAAAGAAACCACAGGGGGGUAAAUUGAUACAUUUUAAACCACAGAGGGGCAAAGUGAGAAACUACGAAACCACAGGAAGGGUUUUUGAAGUUUUCCCUUGUAAUUACGAUUGCUACUUUCAAUAUUUAACGUCACGUUAUAGAAGAACUUUGAUAGAUAUCAUCAUGUAUGUCACUUUUGUUGUAACAAAAUGUUAUUAUAUUAAAUUUUCUUACAAAAGAUCAUUAAUAUUUUUUUUUACUAUUAAAAAAUUGUCCCACAUAAGACUUAGCAAAUAUUUCCCAUAACCCUUACUAGAAUGUUCUAGCAACUGAGCAAUCAACCAAAAUUCUACCAAAAAAAAAAAAAUCAAUUAUCAAGAAAAAGAUAAAUCAAACUAAGGUCCAGUUUGGUAGUACAGUGGCGAAAAGCGCAUAUUUUAUGCUUUUUAUAAUAUAAAAAAAAAAAUAUAUAAUUAGAAGCACUUUAAAUUUUUAGGCUUUUCAAAGUUUAUGGCCAUCACAUUACCAAAAAUAGGCCUAAAUUUGUUUGCUCCCGUUUCUCGUUCCACUAUUUAAUAUCAAUUAUUUUCAAUAUAAUAUUUUGACAAAACAUUAAUAAUUUUUAAAUUGCACAAGACGCAAAACUGAAUUUUUUACUCUCAAAAAUUAGAAAUUGUAAAUCAAUACUUUUAAUUUUACAGCAGAAAGAAUAUCAUUACAAAUAUUUAAUAUAAUUUCUAUUUUACUAAAUAAUAUUUAAAAUAUUUUAUUAAUAAAAGAAUAAAAGAAUGUAAUUUAAAUUUUAGUAUGUUAAUGGACUGAAUUCACAACGAAAUGAAAGAAUAUUGCCCUAUCACAUAUGAAAAGAAAAACUAAAAAUUGAAGAAAAAAAAAAGUUUAUACUAAACGUCAAAACAUGUCGUAUUCUUUUUAUCUUUUUUUUGCUUAAAAAAAAUUUAGAAAAAAAUAUCAAUUCACUUAUCAAUUCACAGUUGACCUUACUGUUGGAUAAUCGAUAUUGACUAUAAUUCUAGAAACUCGAACGGUCAUAACAAUCAAUUUUAUUUAUAACAUACAGAUCCAAUGUAACCUGCCACCAAUUCAUCUAUAAAAUUUACAAUCCAUUUUUUUUUUCUUUUUAUAAAUCUCAGUGUGCCCCAACUUUUGAAUUGAUCCAAUCUUCAACAAGAAAGAAAAAAAAAGAAAAAAGAAAAAUUCAGGCACCCAAAGCAAAGAAGACACGUGCAAACCAACAAUCCAAGCCUGACAACUCUACCUCCGAGCCCCAAAAUAAUAAGAAUAAUAAUAAUAAAAUAAAAUAAAAUUAUGAGUUGCCGUCUCAAUGUUACAACUCGAUGCACAUCCAUUUGAACGCGUAAUUAAAGCUCACCAAAUCCCCACGCCAUCGCAUGCAUCUCAAAAAUAAAUAACUAAAUAAUUAUAUAUAUAUAUAUAUAUAUAUAUAUAUAUAUAUAUAUAUAUAUAUAUAUAUAUAUAUAGAGAGAGAGAGAGUUGAGCUAGAAUACUAUCGAUAGCAAACGGAUUUCGUUGCCAUCUAUUUGUUUUCGAUGAUAGAGCCUUCAAAUCGACGAUCGGCACUGUUGAACAUGAUCUAUACCACUUGAAGUGUUUAGAAAUAAAAUUUUAAUUCUUUUCGACAUCAUUUGCCUAAUGCUCAAAGGGUUUCAAAAUUUAUAAUUUUAAUGGUCGAUAUAAGGUGUUUUCUCGUUUAACGGCGUAAAAAUAUCCAAAUCAAUUGAAUUUUUGUUAGAAAAUUCUUUAAACAAUUUAAAACAAGAUCGACUCUUGAUCUUCAUAAUAAAACUCCUAUCAUCAUUUUUUAAAGAAUAUUCAUUUUCAGCUAUUCAUUUUUGUGUCGACUCGAUGGAUAUAUAAGAGAACAAUAUCAAAAAUGUAUGAAAUUUGAUUUCUAGAUACUUCAAGUGGUAUAGAUCAUGUUCAACGAUGCCGAUCGUCGAUUUAUAGGCUCUAUCAUCGAAAACAAAUGGGUGGCAACAGAGCCCGUUUGCUAUUAUUUUUGAUGAUAGAGUUUCCAAAUUGACGGUCGGCACCGUUGAACAUGAUCUAGACCAUUUAAAUCAUCUAGAAAUCAAAUUUCAUGCUUUAUUUGGCAUCACUAGCUAAACGAUCAAAGGGUCACAAAAUUUAUAAUUUUAAUGACCGAUAUGGUGUGUUUGCUCGUUUAACGGUAUAGAAAAGUUCAAAUCAACUAAUUUUUUGUUAAAAAAUUUUUUAAACUAUUUAAAAUAAGAUCUAGACUCUAGAUCUCAAAUAUAAAAAUUGUAUCAUCACUUUUUGAAGGAUACUCAUUUUCAGCUAUUUAUUUUUCUGUUCACUUGAUUGACAAGAGAACAAUAUCGAAAAUGUGUGAAAUUUGAUUUCCAGAUAGUUUAAAUAGUUUAGAUCAUAUUUAACGGUGCCGAUCAUCAAUUUGAAAGCUCUAUCAUCGAAGACAAAAUUGGUAGAAAAUCGAGUCGUUUACUACCGAUAGUAUUCUAGCAAAACUCUCUCUCUCUCUCUCUCUCUCUCUCUCUCUCUAUAUAUAUAUAUAUAUAUAUAUAUAUAACUAGGCUAAUAUACUAUUAAUAGUAAGUCAUUGGUGCUACUAAGUUUUUGGCCAUUGGAUUAAGAGAUAUGCGGUUAGGAUGAUGUGGGCCCCCUAGGGUUGAGUGGGUGGUUGAUUGAAUAGUAUGAUCUAAUGGGUGAAAACGAUCAAAAGGAUAGAUCUAACGGCGGAAAACUUGGUAGCACUAAGUGCUUCGUGCUAUUAAUAGCAUAGUAGCCGGACUCUAUCUCUCUCUAUAUAUAUAUAAUAGUAUAGAAUUAUUAUAAUAUCGGAAGUAUAGAGAAUUUGAUAUUUUUAAUUUUUUAUUCUUAAAUCGAGAAUUAUAUGGUUGGGGUGAUUACAGUUUUUCUUAUGAUUGAAUAAUACUUCUAGAGUUGAGUGAUUUUCAAAUAAUAGUAGUAUUAAUCUAAAAGUUAGAAAUAAUUAAAGAAACUAAUUUAAAGACAAAAAAAAAAAAUUGAAAGCAUCAAAUUUUUUCUACUUUUAAUAGGACAGUAGUUCUACUUUAUUAUAUAUAAUAAUAAUAAUAAUAAAAGUAAAGUAAGACAUUACAGUAUAGCGCCAGCCGUAAUUGGGGCGUUACUAAUUUUCUAAUACCCGUAUAAUACUUUGUCAACCCUUUUGCGCUUUCAAAAAUUAUUAUUAUUUAUUAUUCAAAAUGAAACCCACCCCCACCACGACCACCACCGCGUGGACAUCGACGAGCGCUUUUGAAUCCCUCAUCACCGUCAUCUUCCUCUUCCUCUUCCUUUGUGUGUGUGUGGUGUAUAUAUAUAUAUAUAUAUAUAUAUAUAUAUGACCAAGUACUUUUUCAACUCCACCAUCUCCACUGAAACCGCACCUUUGAGAAUCAAUCAAUAAUAAUUUUCGCAUUUCGAUCGCCUUUGGUUUUACUUUUACUAAUACUAAUGGAGGAGGUAGAGGUAGAGGUAGAGGUAGAGGUGCCGAGUUAUUUUGUGUGCCCGAUUUCGCUGGAGAUAAUGCGGGAUCCGGUGAUCCUGCCGUCGGGGAUCACCUACGACCGCCAGAGCAUCGAGCGCUGGAUCUUCGCCGACGGCAAGACGACCUGCCCCGUGACCCGGCUGCCGCUCCCGCUGCCGGCCGACGACCUCGACCUCGACCUCACCCCCAACCACACUCUGCGCCGCCUCAUCCAGGCCUGGUCCGCCCUCCACUCCUCCGAGCGCUUCCCCACCCCCAAACCCCCCCUCGACAAGCACUCCGUCUCCCGCCUCCUCCAAGAAUCGAGCGCCAGCCGGCACCACCUCCUGAGCUGCCUGCGGAAGCUCAAAGCUCUCGUCUCGGAGGGCGAGAGGAACCGCCGCUGCGUCGAGUCGACCCCCGGCGCGGUCGAAUUCUUGGCCUCGGUCGUCGCCUCCGCCGCCGCCGGCGACGACGCGGAGUGCGACGUCGCGAUCGACGUGCUGGCGUCGUUGAAGCUGUCCGAGCGGAGGAUCGUCGAGGCCGUCGCCGAGAAGAAUCCCGAGUUCGUGGACGCGCUGGUCGGAGUGCUGCGCCGACCGUAUUACCCGUCGCGGGCGCACGCGGUGGCGAUCCUGCGGUCGCUCGCCGGCGCGCUCUCCCCCGCGCGGCUGGCGGCGCUCGGCGAGGACUUGUUCCGCGAGGUGGUCAGGGUGCUGCGCGACCGGGUGUCGCAGCAGGCGACGAAGGCGGCGCUGCAGGCGCUCGUGGAGCUGGCGCCGUGGGGCCGCAACCGCGUGAAGGCGGUGAGCGCGGGCGCGGUGGAGGUCGUGGUCGAGAUCCUGCUCGAGGGGCCGGACCGGCGGACGUGCGAGCUGGCGCUGGCGGCGGCGGAGCGGCUGUGCGGGUGCGCGGAGGGGCGGGCGGCGCUGGCGAGGCACCCGGCGGGGGUGGCGGCGGUGGCGAAGAAGGCGCUGCGGGUGUCGCACGCUGCCACGGACCGCGCCGUCAGGGCGCUGUGCUCGGUGGCGCGGCACGCGCCCGCGGCGGCCGUGCUGGCCGAGAUGGCGAGCGUGGGCGCCGUCGCGAAGCUCUGCCUCGUGCUGCAGUCCCCCGACUGCGGCGACAGGACCAAGGAGCGGGUCAGGGAGGUGCUCAGGUUGCAUUCCAGGGUCUGGAGGAGCUCUCCCUGCUUGUCCCCGCAGUUCUUAGCCUUGUAUCCCCCUCCCUCCUCCUCCUCCUCCUCCUCCUCCUCUCCUCGUGACAUGCAAUGAAUAAUUAAUUAAACACAAGCUGUAGAUUUUGAUACUUUUGUUCCUAAUUUGGGCAUGCAUGAAUUGAAAAGUUAAACAUCAUCAUGCACGCCCAAUAUGUAAUGUUGAAAGUAAAAAAACCUUGUAAAGAAACCAUUUUGUUUCUGGUACGUGCUCUUUUCAAAUGCAUGUAUUCUUUUCAUUUAUAAUAAGAAGAGGAGAAAAUCAUCUAUUUUUAAAACUUGUUGUGGAUAAAUAUUAAGUUUUGCUGUAUAUAUUAUGUAUACAUAGUGCUAUAUAUUUUGACGAAUGAAUAUUGCUUCACCAGGCAUUAUAUGAGCGCUAAAGGAAAAAAUUGGUGGCGUCUUUUUUUCUGUGUGAUAUAAUUUGAUGUGUUAGAAAGAGGAAAGAGUACUAAUAAUUAGGGUGAAUGAUAUUAAGUGAAAAGGCCCAAGGAAAAAAAAAAGAAAAAAAGAGACUGAGCAGAAGAGCACUUAUCUACAUUUCAAUUUUGUUCAUGAUCAUUCAAUCGAUUCAUCUCUUAAUUGUUGUGGAUAAUUGCAUUCCCAAUGAUGUAGCAGAGUUCAUAUUUACUAACUAUGCUAUAUUAAUUACCUGCUAUAUAUUCAGAUCUUGAUUCCUCUAACACUGAGCUCUUUCAAGCUGAGUACAAAAUUACCAAUAUAUUAUGCAAUAUAUUAUGCUAGUCUAUCUAUACUGCAUUGAGAGAGAGUGAUAUCGAAGUUCAUUGUUUUGUUAAUAGCAGUUUGAGAUCAUAUAGAGCUAGAUGACUCUUCUCUUCUCUUAUAUAUUAUUUAUGUUUUUUUUUUUUUUUUUUUUUUAAUUAGCUUAAGGAAUGGAUUCUUCUGUGCAUCUUCAGCUCAAUUAAUGCUCCAUGUGUCAAUUUGCAUGAAAACAUUAGUUACAGGAAAUGAAUGAUUAUGCAAGCACAGAUCUUCUGUGGGUUGCAGUGUUUUCGAUUUGAUCUGGUACUAUCCAGAAGGGAAUAAUAUUAUUGACAAAAAGUAGGGGAGCUGUAACAUCAAUUUUUUAUAUAAGCAUGCAUGGUAUUUGGAAAGAAGAUUAGCUUGUUAAAUGAAGAUUAGCUUGUUAAAUUAAGGGCCUUUUGGUUAGAUAUAAUGAGAACUGUAAUAUAGUUAAAAAUAUAUAUAGUUGGAGAUGUAGUUGUGAUAUAUUGGACCUUAGUAAAGAGGUAAAAUUACAGUAUAAAUUUUUUUAGUCAGUAUUUUUAUAGUGCUUGACUAAAUUAAAAAUAUUUUAGCGUGAAAUAGAUGCAAGAACGAAUUUAAAAUAUGUAAUUUUNGCCGCCGUGCCCGGCAGCGCCGUGCUCGUCACCGACUGGGCCUGGGCGCUCGUCCGCGCCGGCCGCGCCGAGCACGCCCUCGACCCCCCCUUACUGGCCAUUGGCAGCAGCGGCGGCGGCAGCGGAGCGGGCAAUCCGAAGGGGAUCAUGGUGAGGUUCGUGCUGGUGGGGAUUCUGUGCGCGCACGCGAUGGUGGCGCUGCGGCCGACGAUCGCCGACGCGCUGCGGAUGCUGGAGGGGGACCUCGAGGUGCCGGACGUUCCGGACCGGCCCACGCCGCUAGGCUUUCACGGGCUGAUAUACGGCGACGGCAGCGGGGCGGAUACGUUCGCGGCCUCGCCGGCGCUCAGCGGCCCGUGCUUGGACGCCGGAGACAUGCUCAGGUGAGAAGAGAAAGGUGGCCGUUUUAAGGUGUUUGAUGAAAUACCUGGUUCUAUCUUAAUCUGGAGGAGGAGAAUAUUAUCAUGUCCUAUAUAUUGUAAUGUAAUUUACUCAGAACGGUGAUUUUUUUUUUUUUUUUUUUUUUUUCGUAACGAUCGAUUGGCGCGUGCUCGUGAUUUUUUCGAUGUUUCCAUAUUGGGGUUAGUAUCAUAAUAUUAUAAUUUUUCGUUUAGCCUCUUUUGAGGGAUUUUUGUAUAAAUUAAGAUUUAGAAGCUAAUUUUGUUUAUACAUUUUAGGAGUUGAUUUUGUGUGAUUUUCAUAAAAGUUUUGAACCACUCUGAGGUAUCGUGGUUGCCAUUCAGGCUAAGAGAGCAGUAACUUAUUAUCUCACUAUCCCAAUUACCGUUCUGUUCUUCGAAUUUGCAAUAUAUGUGAAUUCCGUGUUGUCAAAAUUGGCGUACUAAUUUUUAUAUUAAUAUUAUAUUAUUUAGUUUAUGAGAUAAACUAUUGAUAUAGUUAAGAUAAUAAAAGUAUUUUUGACACCUUUCUGUAGAGUAUAUUGAGACAUACAUAUUUUUCACUAUUAGUAUUAUAUUAUAUUAUCUUGGAGGCCAAUAGAGAAUGAUAGAUAGUGUGAGACUAUAACUAUAUUUGUGACACUUUGACAGUAUUAUCACAACCUAUUUGAUUAUUGCAUUUGACUAUAACUUGUACGCUAUUUUGACCUUGACAGUGAUACUAUACUCGAUUAGGGUAGCGCCCCCGCGAGUGCCAUUCCGGAUGUUGGGCUAUGUGAUAUUAUUAUGAUAUGGAUUUGACAAUAGACUGCGUGGUAGCGAACCACUAUAAAUGGAUGCUGAACAUGAGGCGUCGCAGGCUAGAUCUGACUGUUGAGUCGAUCACUGUGAUUGAAUAUUAUUGUUUUAUUCAGUAUCUAACUGAUACAUGAAAUAUAUGAUUCACAGGUUAAUUUUAGUUAUAUUGUAGAGAUAUGAUAGUAAUAGUUCCUCUCAGCAAUUAUUUAUAUUAGUAUUUAUUUAUUUCCACUGGUUAGUUAUUUACUAUUUUUGACUCUUAUGGACCUAGUGGUGUAGACCGUCGGCGUUGACUAUCGUCCCCACUGGCGAUUAUUGAUUAUAGUUUUAGGCCCUCUUUAUUAAUAUUUUAUUUCAGAACCUUUUGCACCAGCUACUGAUCGAGAUAAAGGAAUUGCAAAUAGUUAGCAUUUUCUAUCCUUUUUGUGUGUGUAAUUGGACCACCUAGCAGUGUGUUUUGAGAUUUGAAGUGGUCGGAGAUGUUAUACCAUUUUGAGGAUUAGUGUAAUAAUGAUUGUAUGUUUACAGUGUUGCUAUAGUGUAUAGUUUUUAUUUUACUUUAAUACUACUGUUGUUAAAUUUUAGUUAACUAUUUUUUGGACAGCUUUUGUUGACGCUUCGUAUGUAUAAGAUGUAUCCUUGUACAUGUGGUGGGUCUGUUGACGUAAUCCGGGCUUCUGCAGUAAUUCGGGUUGUGAAAGUAGUAAUUAUAUUUAUAUAUAUUUCGUUUGAUUGGAUGCAGUAAGAAGCGUUAUAAUUAUAAAUUAUUUAUUUGAUUGUAUGUAAUUGAGAAAUGCAUUUAAAAAAAAAAUAUUUCUUUAUAUUUUGUGGUGGUGAGAUUAUCUUUAAUGUAGAAAGAAAAAAGAUAUAGAUGUUUUUUAUUCAAAAAAUAAUUACAAAAGUAAGUUUAUCUUCUGUUUACAGUUAUUUUCUCCAACUAUUAUAGUUGAAACAAUGAGUAAUUUGAGCGUGGUUCCAACUGCUGUAAUUGAAUCUCAUUAUGCAGCUCUAAUUGUAGCAGUAAACCCAAACAUAGUAAACCAAACGCCAAAUUUGAAAUUACAUAUACGUAUAACAGUAAUGCAAUUGCAACUAUAAGUAACCUAACAACCUGUAAGUGUAUCUUAAUGCACAUGCAGUAGUUAACAUUUUUUUUUUUUUUUUUUUUUUUUGAGAGAUAGAUAGCACGCUACCCAUUUCGUUUAUUUCAUUUAGAAAUAAACUUAGUUGGAAAUAUGAAUUAAGUAGGAUUCGAACUUGGGUCUCGGUUAUCAACCACCAAACCCUUUACCACUUGAUCUAGGAACGGUCGGUAGUAGUUAACUAAUUAAUAAGUAAUAUUUAUAAGUUUUCGCCAUUUACAACUUAGAUUUACGGAUAUAAAUAAAACACGUACGAGUUAUUGAUAAACCCUGAUGCGUUGAAUUUGAUCAACUCUAUUAUGUAACCAUAGAUCAAAUUUCAAGCAAAACUAAUUUUUGAAAGUUCUUACUGUUAAGGUUACGGGGCAUUAAAAUUAUUUUUCUUUGUUUUUUUAAUUUUCCAGGCCCAUAUAUAGUUUCCACAUCUCAAAAAAGCCAAUAACAACAUACAUAACUUUAUUUUUUUCUUUUUUUGUUUGCUUAAUUUUUUUUUCUUUUAAUAGAUUCCAGGAUUUCCGAGUAUCAACGAGCCGAACACGAGCGAGAUGCGGCCGGCUUGUGUUUGGCUCAUUUCAUAAAUGAGCCGGACACGAGCCAGAUCGUUAAAGUGUCGAGCCGAAAAAUUCAGCUCGUUUAUUAACGAUCCAAACACGAGCUGGCUCAUGAAUAAUAAGUUAAAAGAAUUAUAAAAGAUGUGUAUAGAAAAUAAAUUUAUGUGAUCCUAUCUAUUUGAUUUUGAUCUAAUAGUUGAAAUUUUAUAUAUAAAUGACUUUUUUAUAAUUGAGUUGGGCUUUAUAUUUAGAUUAAACUAAAAAUUAAUUAAUUAUUUAUAUAUAUAAAAAUAUAAAAUAUAUGUAUUCGAGCUGUUAUCGAGUCGAACACGAGCGAGCUAACCCCAGCUCGUGUUCAGCUCCUUUACUAAACGAGAUGGAAAAUUCAACUCGUGUUCGGCUCGUUUACUAAACAAGCGAUUUGAUCUCGAGCUUAUUUCGAGCUGAACAUGAGCUACUCGCGAACAACGAGCUGGAUUGACACCCCGACCGCGCUGGAUAAGUCUCAAGCGUAUUUACUUUUUCAACGAAUUAAGCUAACUGUGCAUGCUUUUUUCCAACUCUUUGUCAAAAAAAAAUAAACAAAAAGAUGAAAAAUUUUAUUUUUUAAAAAAAAGUCCUUUUUCUUUCUCCACUUUUGAAGUAAAUAGAAAUUGACCAUCACAGAUGCUCAGCUUCUCUCCAUUCUUUUUCUUUUCCAUUUCUUUUUUCUUUUUUUACCUCAAGUUUCAAUCCAAACAAUUUCUUCUCUCCAUCCAAAUAAUAUGUAAUAAUAAAAUGCACAGAACUAGUAGUGAUCCAAUAUGUAAAAUUUUUUAUUUUAUUUUCUUGCAUCAUGUCCACAUGCUUCUGAACCCAUAUGUGACAUUUUGGAGAUAUUCUCAAGUUAAUUGGAAAAGCAUUAAAUACAUGAGAAUGAUAAUCUACCAACCGUACUUGGAGACUGUUUGGUUGUACGUAGUUCUAACCGCACUGUAAUUAUAACUAUAUGUAAAUAUAAAUUUGGUGUUUGAUUUGAUAUAUUUGAUUCCAACUGCUACAGUAGGAAUUGUAGGACGCCCAAGCUGUCCAAUUGCAGCAUAUCGAACUACGUCCAAAUUGACCGUAGUUCUAAUUACACCAGUUAAAAAGAAUAAUUUUAAACAAAAAAUAUGCUUACCUUUUUAAUUAUAUAUAUAUAUAUUAUUAGAGUUAAUCUCACCAUCAUAUAUAUAAAAUAAUAAAAUUUUAAAAACAUUUCUCAAUUGUAUACAACCGAACAAAUUAUUUAUAGUUGCAGCGCUUUCUACUAAAUUCAACUAAACAGAAUGCAUAUAGUUACAACUGCUGCUUUUUCAACUACAUGGAUUUUCAACUACACUGUAAUAUAUUAAUCGUUUAGGACGAAAACGACUUUCCUCCUUUUCACUUCCACCCCACUUUCACCCGAACAAACAUGCCCUUAGCUAAGGAUUUUGAUGGUGAGUAUUUGAAAUCUCAAAUUUGAAGUUUAAUUAUUUUAUAUUUUAAGUUUAAUUUAUUUCUUAAAAAAAAACUAAACAAAGUAGAUAAUUUAAUGGAUAAAAAUAGUCAAAGGGUUAAAUCUAACGGCGGAAAACUCAAUAGCACCAAACGCUUGGUACUAUCGAUAGUAUCCCAGCAGGACUGUAUAUAUAAAACUAGGCUGAAAUACUAUCGAUAGCACCAAACGCUUGGUGCUAUUGAGUUUUCGGUUCUUGGAUGAAAAAACGUACGGUUACGAUGAUGUGGCCGGGCCCCCUAGGGUUGAGUAAGUUAUUUGUUCAAUAGUAUAAUUUAAUGGAUAAAAAUAGUCAAAGGGUUAAAUCUAACGGCGGAAAACUCAAUAGCACCAAACACUUGGUACUAUCGAUAGUAUCCGAGCAGGACUCUCUCUCUCUCUCUCUCUCUAUAUAUAUAUAUAAGAAACUCUUCAUCAAUAUGCAAUGGUUUGAAAUUGUCAAUAGGACUCAUUUAUUAUGGUUUAGAAUGAUUAGAAUUAUCAAGAAUAUUUCAAAUCAAACGGCUCAAAAUUCUGGGUAGAGAUUAAUCUAGAAGACUCUAAACCCAUUCAAAUUAAGUAAUCAAAUAAAAAGACCCAAGAUACCACUUCAAUUCAUGGAAAAGAACCAUUAAAUUUUGUUUUGUUAAAAUUUUAAGUUGUAAAAACAUAAAAUUAAGUUGUGACAUUAAAAUUUGAAAUGUUUGGACACAUGUUUCCAAAUGAUAAGCUUAAUUACAAUCACUGUAAAAUAUUAAAAGCAUUGCUAUGAUAAUCAUAAUCUAUUAUAUAUUAUUAUGAGCUGCUGAUAUAUUGAUAUCUGAUAAUUAAUGUUAUUAUGUAAACUAUUGAAUGACAGGUGUAAAUGUGUAAUAUGAUGAACUUGCAGGUUUUAUAGCAGUAAAAAAUUAUUAUUCUAAGUGAUAAUAUAUUUUAAUAAAAAUAAAAAUUUUUAUCUAUGACUUUUCUACUUUGGAUCACCAUAAUUAUAUCAAAAGUUAUAAUUUUUAGUUACUUUUCUCUUCUUUCCAAUUUUAUCCCUACUUUGGAUCAGAAUACCAAAUUAUUAUCUAUUAAAUAUUACCAUUCAUUAUACGAUACGGUAUCGACCCCAAAGAAUGUAGUGAAGCGCCUCAAAAUUUUAAAACCCUCGCUCACAAUGUCGACCCCUCCCACCACCUCCUCGUCCUCGUCCUCGUCCUCGUCCUCUUCCUCUCCUCCUCCUCCUCCUCACCUCGGCCAUGGCGACGCGGCGCUCGACGUGUUCUGGGACGAGGGCAUGCUCGGGCACGACGCGGGCGCGGGGGUCUUCGACACGGGCGCCGACCCGGGCUUCCUCGACGUCCUCGACCGCCACCCGGAGAACGCCGAUCGCGUGCGCAACAUGCUCUCCGUCCUCCGCCGCGGCCCCAUCGCCCCCCUCCUCUCAUGGCGCCCCGGCCGCCCCGCCGCCGUCUCCGAGCUCCUCUCCUUCCACACUCCAGGUCGCUUACUUGAAUUCAUUUCCCUUUAGGGCAUGUUUGGUUCGUGAUUGAAAUGGGGAUGAGAAAUGAAAUUGGAUUGUGUUGGAAUGGAAAAUGGAACGACGAAUCAUCAAAAAAAUUGUUUUUUGUUUGGUUCAUUAUUAGAAUGUAAAUCGGAAUGAAUAUCUAGAAUUUUGAGAGUGUUUUGAUUAAGAGAGAGGGGAGUGAGGAAAGGGAGAGGAGUGGAAGGUGUUUCGGUGGUUUACUUUGGAAUGAGCCAAUCCGGAAUUCAAGGUUGGAUUGGGCCAUAAAUGAAUUGUGCUAGUGGAAUGGGAAUGAGAAUCCGAUUACUGUAAAACAAACAACAACUAUUGGAAUCAAUGAAUUUCAUUUUGAUUUCAUUGUCUAAAAUAGAUGAACCGAACAAGCCCUUAAUUCAGAGGAAUUAAUCUCAAUUUGUUUGGAAAUGAGUUUUGGCCAUGUUUGGAUGCUAGAAUAAGAUAUCAGAUUAUAAUUUAUUCAGUACGAAGAUUUUUCUGUGUGAUUGGAAGUUAGGAGUUUAAUUUUCGAUGCUCGAAAGGUAUUGUCAUCCAUGAUUUGGUAGAAUACAUCUUUCACCUACGAGUUGAUUUAUCUUAUUCCAAAAAAAUGAUUUGUAGGGUAAAUAUGAUUCCCAUUUUGGACACCUGACCACGCGCCUCAUCUACCAAAAAUUAUAUUCAUCUUGUGUAAAUCGAAGAAAUAUACCGAAUAAGAUUUCAUGCAUUCGAGCAGAGCCUUUUAAGCCUCUCAUUUUUUACAAUUUGUUUUAUUUCACUUAGUAAGUAUGAGUUUCAAUUUAUUCACAAGUUAAUUUUGGCCUCAUUUGCAUGUCAGAAUAAGUUAUCCUGUGAUAGCUUAUACUCUAUGAAGAUUUUUUGUGUGAUCACAAGUUAGGAGCUUGAUUUUAGCUCAUUAGAGGGUCUUGACAUCCAUAAUUUGGUAGAAUAGUGAAUUUCACCUACAAAACGAUUUGUCUUAUUUUUUAAAAAAAGAUUUGAAGGCUGAAUAAGAUAUACCUUUCUAGACAUUUGAUUGAUCUCUUCAUUUACCAAAAUGCUACAAGCUUCUCAAGUAAAUAAAAGAGAUAAGUGGAACAAGAUAUUGUUUGUCUAAAACUAUACCUUUGUUUGUCUAAAAACACAAUGGAACGAAAAUGAAUUCCAUCCAAAACUAGGCCUUUGUUUGUCUAAAAACACAAUGGAAUGAAAAUGAAUUCCACUUUCUAAUGAUGUUUGGAAAGACUAACGAAUUCAUUUCAAUGUUGUCGUUCUUGCUUCUUUUUUUUUUCUUUUCCUGUUUCAACCUUGGAUAAAUAAUAAGAAAGUUAAAACUUUGAAAACUAAAUAUGUUCAAACUAUUUCGUCAACCAUAGUAUUCGACCCCGUGUAUUAUAAAAGUUAUUGUCUUUAUCUACAACUGCUUGAACGAAGAGAUAUCUAAGACAACUAAUAUCAAUGCUUGAAUGAAGAGAUGUAUAAGACGACUAUGUUCCCCUAAUAAUAAACAUCUAUGUUGAACUGAAUAGGAUUUGAGAAUUGGGUUGUAUUUUUGGGGCAAAUAUAUACAUACAUAUCCUCGCAAAGUUUAGAAAUCACACAUUUGUCCUGUAAAGUUUUAAUUCUUGAACGUCUUCGUAUUGCUUUAAAUUUUCAAAAUUUGCAAAUCUGUCCCUGUCAAAUUUGGCUACCAUCAGUUGAUUGCUAAUUUUUCACUGUUAGGAAGGUUAGCCCUUUUGACAAGCUUAUUCUUGUCACAAUUUUUGAGAGAGGAUUUAGGGUUUAUGUUGGAUAGCUUGAGAGAUAGAGCAGGACAUUACAAAUUAAAAAAAAAUGACAUUAGAAGAGCAUUUAAAAGGAGAUCUAUUUUCAACAGUUGAAUGGUCAUUUUAUAGGAAAAGGUCAACUUUAACUGGACAACCAUUAGAGAGAGAAUAAUUGCAAAUCCAAAAAUUCAGAGGGAGAUAUAUGGUUAUUAAAACUUUUGAUGGACAUGCAAUUUUCCCUUUCCUUUUUUGUUUGUCGAAAUCGAAAUAUCGAAUAGUACGACUGUCAUUUGUUAUUCAAGAGUGUUGUUAGUUUGUGAAUCAUUUGCGCCUAGAAGAGUAUAUCUUUGAUGGUUUUGCAAACAAAGUUGUGAAAUAAACUUGUAAUUCAAUAUUUAAUGUAUCAUGAACUAGCUUAUCAAGUUUAGUGACUGCUACAAAUGUCCCAAAAUGAAUGUAAAGUGUAGAACAGGAAUCAAAUAAGCUAGCAGCAACACUUACUUUUGUUUAAUUGAAGGCUAUGGUGCUCGAUAUUAAGGAUCGAUUAUGGUGAUCUUCUUGUAUUCUGUUUAAUCGAAGAGUGCACUGCUUAAUUUUAAUGAUAAGUUUUGGGGAUCCAUUUGUUUAGUGCUGUCACACCCGCUAUACUUGUUAGUAAGCAGUAAAUUGGGCGUAAGUAUUAUGGGCAUGUUGCUAGGCAGGCUUCUGUAAAAUUUCUACCCAACAGGCUCAUAUAUUAAAAAAAAAUGAUAUCAAAGCUAUUCCCGAGGUAAUUAUAGGAUUUGAAUAAUGUUAUUAGAGCCCCUCCAGAAUGUGGACUUGAUUGAUCAACCCUAUCCUGCAUCGGAAAAAAUUCGGGAAAUGAACUGGCAUAUAUGUAGAACCAUGUUCUAGUGCGAGUAGCUAGUCUUAAUCCCUUGAGCAUUUUCUGACCUUUUGGCUUUGUGUGUAUUAGUUUCUUUUAGUUGGAAAUCUAUAGAAAAUGAUGCAAAUGCUUAUUGUCAAGGUGCCAAAUAUAUUAGGUUACUAGAAAGAAAGCACAAACACUAUUUGCACCGUGAGUCUAUCAACAUGUUGAAUGAUAGCGACUAGACAAUUCUCUCUCAUUGUCAUUGAUGCUAGAAUUUACAUCUUAUUCAUUUAAGUGAAUGGUGCUAGAAUUUACAUCUCAUUCAUUUAAGUGAAUGGUGCUAGAAUUUGCAUCUCAUUCAUUUAAGUGAAUGGAACUAGUCGUUCUACUUGAGGGGAAAGAAAGCUGAACUCCAUAUACAUCUAGAAGCUUUGUCCAUCCAACUAAUUAGUCUUAAAUUCAAUAUGCUUGGUUUGCUACGAAUGUGCCAUCGUCAUAACGAUAUCGCAAGAAUACGAGCAAUAUUCCUAUUAGUUCAUUAGAAAAGUGUGAUUUUAACUUAAUUUGAAUCAAUGUUUGCUUUUACUUUCUCUACGUUGCAAGAAUAUUCAAAUAAUUUUUCUUUUCAACAGGAGGGUCCCCUUUGCUCUGUCAUAGUUGUUGAUCUGCUUAUACAAAAUGGAAUCAUCUAAUUGCCUCGUUUACAAUUUUUUUUGUAUCUCUAUUUUUUAACAUCUAAGUACUCUAAUUAAGCGCGACUGUUGGCACCUACUAAUUUAUCAGAAUACAUAGAGGAAUUGGUACAAGCCAAUGCAGCUGGAAGCAAGGAACUCUGUGCUGGAACUUUUAUGAACCCUGGCUCGUGGGGUGCUGCCCUUAUAUCAGCUGGAACAACACUAUCCGCGAUGAAGCAUAUAUUAGAUGGCCGUGGAAAGCUAGCUUAUGCAUUAGUCCGCCCGCCAGGUCAUCAUGCUCAGCCUAGUCAAGCUGAUGGCUAUUGCUUUCUCAACAAUGCUGGCUUGGCCAUACAGCUUGCCCUAGAUUCUGGUUGCAGAAAAGUUGCAGUUCUUGACAUCGAUGUCCACUAUGGUAAUGGAACGGCAGAAGGGUUUUACCGCUCAGACAAUGUGCUCACAAUCUCAAUCCAUAUGAACCAUGGUUCCUGGGGCCCUUCGCAUCCUCAGAGUGGUUCGAUUGACGAAGUCGGUGAAGGAAAUGGGUUUGGGUACAAUUUGAAUAUACCUUUGCCCAAUGGAAGUGGGGAUGAAGGGUACUCAUAUACGAUGAAUGAACUGGUCCUUCCCGCUAUUGACAAAUUUGGACCCGAGCUUAUUGUUUUUGUUAUCGGCCAAGAUUCUAGCGCGGUAAGUUGAAUUUUAUUGCUUUUUGAGUGCAAGCUUUUUUUCACAUCAUGCAAGAUUUAUAUUCUGUUCAAAUAGUUAAGGUAAUAGAGAACAUUUUUUCUUCUAUUUUACAUGACUAAAUUGCAGGUCUUUUUAAUGUUGCCAACCUCCUAAAUAUAGAAAUUUCAUCGUCUUGCAUUUAAUACAUUUUGCAUCGUACUGAAAGAAACAGUAGAUUUGCCAUGUUGUAAGUUGAGAAAAUAGAACAUCUAGCAAAAUUGAAUUUAUAUUCUGAUUUCUGAAUGCUACAUCUGCACUAACUUUGUUGGAUUUGGAAGUAGUAGAGUGAAACUAUGCCAAUUAGCUUUGCCUAUCAGUGUGUUACUAAACUAAAGUUUCUGAAGGACAUAUAUGCAAAACAAUGAUCUUCAGGGGUUUAUAUAUAGAAUAUCUCUAACAUGUAACCUAUUUUUCAGUUUGAUCCAAAUGGAAGGCAGUGCUUAACCAUGGACGGCUACAAGGAGAUCGGAAGAACAGUACGGAAAAUGGCCGAUAAGCAUGCCCACGGACGGCUCCUGAUCGUCCAGGAAGGGGGCUAUCACUUGACAUACUCGGCAUAUUGCCUCCACGCAACCCUAGAAGGUGUUCUCAAUCUCUCAACUCCACUUUUAGCCGACCCUAUCGCCUACUAUCCCGAAGAUAAGGCAUUCACUGUCAAAGUCGUCGACGCCAUAAAGCGGUACUGGAUAGAAUCUAUUCCUUUCUUGAAAGAGCUUUAGAAAAAGUUGUACAUCUUCUCAUAUUCUCACUAGCUGGUGGGCUUGUUGUAAAAUUAUGUAUGCGCAUAGUUGUAGUGAUAAUAAUUAUAUUAAAUUGUUUACUUCUUAGUGCCUUGUACCUUUUAAAGUUGUAACUUUGUUCUUGUGCAAUAUUUUUGAUUAAUGCCCAAGUUUAGGGCUUUUGCAAUGAACUAUGAAUACAUAUGCUAUAAUACUAUCAUUAGCAGAUAGGUUUUGUUGCUACAGAUUUAUUUUUGAAGAUGAAGCCUUCGCAUAGACCACUUGAAAUAUUUAAAAAUCAAAAUUUAUAUAUUUUUUUAUAUUACUUUUUUGUGCAUCAAGUGGGCACAAAAAUGAACGGCUGAAAAUAAUUGCUGUUCAAAAAGUGAUGAUAGGAUUAUUGUGAUUAAGAUUAAGAGUGUAGAUUUUAUUUUAAACAAUUUAAAGAAUUUUCUAAUGAAAAUUCAACUGGUUUGAAUUCUUUUUAUGCCGUUAAACGAGCAAAUGUCUUGUAUUAAUCAUUAAAAUUAUAAAAUUUGCAAUCUUUUAAUUAUUAGGUAAGUGAUGUCAAAAAAAUAUAUAUAAUUUGAUUUCUAUAUCCUUUAAAAAGUGGUUUAAAUUAUGUUCAACAGUAUCGAUCUCUUAUUUCAAAGCCCUAUCAUAAAAAAUAAAUAGAUAGCAAUAGAGUCUGUUUGUUACUGGCGAAUAAAUAGAUAGCAAUAGAGUCUGUUUGUUACUGACGGUAUUCUAACGCAUCUCUCUCUAUAUAUUUUUUUUCUGCAAUACUCUUGUUUCUGAAAAGGUUCGUGUUACAUUCAUCGACUCUGUGAGCAGAAUAGGUUCGCUGAAUCGGUGAUCGACAAAAGUAGCUUUUCUCUCCUGAAAAUGAUCACAUAUUUUUCCUUUGACAUUCCUCAGCAGCUUUUUGUCGAAGCUUAGAGCAUAUAUAUGGAGGUUCUGCAUCACAUUGUUGUUGUCAAGCUUUAUUUCAAUGAACGAUAAAAAAAAAAGAUGUACUGAGAGAUGAUUUGAAGUGGAUUUUAGUCAACUUUAUUCUAUCGAAUUGAUUCCUUUUAUUUUAUUUUUUUGUGUGCUUUUCUUUGUUCGAGUGAAUCUUAUCUUAUAUAACGUGUGAAACUUACGCUUUAUUUUAUUUAUUAUCAAAUUUCAAAUUUUCAUGUAAAUAGAUCAGAACAAUAAUAACUAAAAAAAAAUUUAAAUAUUGAAAUAUAAUAUAUUGCCGUGCUCAUGUGAAAAGAGAUAUGAUAAGAGAUACCGAAGUGUUAGGGCCUUUUGGUACUGAGGUUUAUCUAAAAGAGUUUGGACAAAACAUUGCGGUCUAUGAAAAAUAGUUGGGCCUAAAACAAAAAAAAGAUUUUUUUUUUUUGCUAUUUUCUGAUGGGACGACAUUUUCUUUUUCAGUGGGAUCAUUGAAAAUAUAUUCUAACUCUCCUUCAUAUGAAAAUAAAUAGUUAAUAAAAUGGUAUUUUUCAAUCUGCUUAUUGUAACAAAUAUAAUUAAUUUUGGAAAGAUGUAACAAAAAAAAGGAGUAUAAAAACUCAAACGGAGCUUUAAUAUAAAAUUUUGGAGAGAAAUAAGAAUAAAAAUAAGAUUAUAAUAUUUUUUUUAUCAUACUAUUUUUCUGUCCGUAACGCAAUCUUACUCACAUAGCCUUACUAUAGAAUUUUGGAAAGAUAUAAUAAAACAAAGGAGAAUAAAAAGAAAACUCAAACAGAAACUUAAUAUAAAAUUUCGGAGAGAAAUAAGAAUAAAAAUAAGAGUAUAAUAAAAGUCAUAUAUCUAUCAAAUUUCUAGCAAAUAUAUAAUUUCAUCAAAAUUUAUCUAUUUAAGGAUCCUAUCUUCUUUCACUUCUCUUUUUUAUUAGGGAUAAUAUUUAAUAUAUAUCCUUUAAAAUUUUAAAAAUAUCUAAUAUGUCUCUGGUUGAACAAAAUAUUUUUUCCGAUUUUAAACAUAUUUUUUUCAAAUAUACCUCUAAUACUAGAGCUUAGUAACAGGAUUAAAAGUUAAAAAUGAAAGUAAAAAAAAAUAAAUUUAAAAAUUUUGACUAGUAAUGAAGAGUAUAUGAACAAAAAACUCAUUUUUAUUCGUUGCAUAUAUAUAUAUAUAUAUAUACAUAGAAUUGAGCUUCUAUACUUUCAAAAGUACCAAAUUAUUGGUGCUUGUAGAUUUUUAGUCAUUGGAUUAAGAGAUAUGCGGUUAGGAUGAUAUGAGCCCCCUAGGGUUAAGUGGGUGAUUGGUUGAAUAGUAUAAUCUAAUAAUUGAAAAUGAUCCGAGGAGUAGAUCUAACAAUAAAAAACUUAUAAGCACCAAGUGCUUGGUGCUUUUACAAGCAUCAUAGCUGGACUCAUAUAUAUAUAUAUAUGAGUGAGGCUACUAUGCUAUCGGAAGCACGGAGCCUUCCGUGCUUCCAUCUCGUUUUCGAUGUUGCAACUUUCGAAUCGUUUAUUUAUCAAUUAUUUUACCAUAAAAAGUUAGACGAAUAACAUUGUUUAUAUUAAUUAAAACCUUUCUACAUUGUUUUUUUUCCUCAUAUUUUUGAGUUUGCCUCGAAAUUAUAUUUUAAAACCUCUCUUUAUUCUUAUUUUUAUUCUAAUAUUAUAAAAAAAAUAGUAUGAUAAAAAGACAGGCAUUGCGUUAGAAUGAGUGUAUCGGAAUGAUAUCUUAAAACCUUUCUAUAUUAUUUUGUUUCCUCUUAUUUUUCUUUUGAGUUUGUCUUUGAAUUAUAUUUUAAAGCCUCUCUUUAUUCUUAUUUUUAUUCUCAUAUUAUUUUCAGUAUAUAGAUAGUUUAAAGAUCGUUUAUAUAUUAAAGUAGUUUUAAAUAGAUAAAUUCCUAGGAUAGAAGAAAGUGAAGAGAAAAAAUAAUCCCUAUUAUAAAUUAUAUAUAGGAAAUUUUAAAAUUUUUAUAGAUUAUACAGAGACCAACUUGUUUUAUAAAAAAGGCUAAAAUUUGUAUAAAAAAAGUUUAUAUGGAGAUUAUGAUCUCGAAUCAUUGUCCUAAUUUUCAAUUUUUACUUUCAUUUUUUUUUAUUUAAAUUUUUAAAACUGAUCAUUACUUCUCAUAUACUUGUUUUUUGAGUAAAAAUAAGCAACGUAUAUAUAUAUAUAUAUAUAUGUAUCUUAACUCGAAGAUAUGAAAGUUUUCAUGGUUUAAUAACCACGAACAUCUAAAAAUCAGUAACCUAAUUCUCUAUACGCCAAUCCUACUAUACUCGGGGGAUCCCAAUUCACCCACUAACCAACUUAUCAUAUUAGAUUAUUAACUUUUACUAGGCUCCUCAUCUAGAUUGUUAUUUUUUGAAUAUUCGUGGUUCACGAACCACGAAAAUGUUCGUAGUAUCGACAUGAGUAUAUAUAUAUAUAUAUCUCACUCCGAUGAUACGAUAGCCUUCGUGCCUCGGAAGGCACGAAGGUAGAACAAAAGCUACAACGCUAAAAGCUUAGCAGCUAGCCGAGGCAAUUUGAACUAGAUCUCAUAAACCUCAUGGGUCUUUUAUUUAAAAUAAUAAAAAGCUAUAGUAAACGGAUUACUAGCUUAUCCGAGUUUUAGUUGUUUAAAGUUACCAACAUCACUCGGCAAACGUUCAAAUUGCCACAUCUUUAUAGGUUUAGUGCACUUUAAAACUAUCUUUUAAGAAAUACGAUAUAUUUUAUUCUAGUUAUAGAAACUAAAUUUUGAAAUUACAGUAUAAUAAUGUAAAACAUUCUAAAAAUAAAAGUCGGCAACUAAAAUUCGGGGAAGCAAGUGAUCCGUUUACUAUAGCAUUUUAGUAUUUUAAAUAAAAGAUCCAUGAAGUUUAUGAGAUCUAGUUCAAAUUGCCUCGGCUAGCUNNNNNNNNNNNNNNNNNNNNNNNNNAAAAAAGAGAUAGAUUUAAAAAUAAGAUUAUAAUAUUUUUUUUAUCAUACUAUCUUUUCUGUCCGUAACGCAAAUUUAAAUUUAGCCUUACUAUAGAUUUGGAAAGAUAUAAAUAAAACAAGGAGAAUAAAUAAGAAUACAAACAGAAAACUUAAAUAUACAAUUCGGAAGAAUAGAAAUAAAAUAGGUAUAUAAAAGUCAUAUAUCUAAUCAAGAUUCUAAAAAUAUAUAUAAUUUCAUCAAAAUUUUAUCUAUUUAAGGAUCCUAUCUUCUCUUCACCUUCUUCUUUUUAUUUAGGAUAAUAUUAAUAUAUACUCUUUAAAAUUUUAAAAUUAUCUAAUAUGAUCUCUGGUUACAAAAUUUUCCGGAUUUAAACAUAUCUUUUCAAAUCAUACCUCUAUAACAAAAUCUCGUACAGAAUACCAAGUUAAAAUGAAAGUAAAAAAAAUAAAUUUUAAAAUUUGACUAGUAAUGAAGAGUAUAAAAACACAACAGUCUAUUUUAUUCGUUGCAUAUAAUAAUAUAUAUAUAUUAUAUAUAUAGUUUAUAUACUAUAUGUAUAUAAUAUAUAAUAUAAACAAUAUAUAAUAUAUAUUAUAGGUAUAUAAGUGUAAAUCAUGAGGAAUGACUUCUUACUUUCAAAAAGUACCAAAUAAUUGUGCUUGUAGAUUUUUAGUCAUUGUAUUUAAGAGAUAGGGCGUGUUAGAGAUAUAGCCCCCUAGGGUUAAGUGGGUGAUUUGGUGCAUAUUAUAAAUUCCCUAAAUAAUUGAAAUAUGAUCCGAGGAUCUAGAUCUAACAAUAAAAAACUUAUAAGCAAACAGCAAGUUUGGUGGCUUUUAACAAGCAUCAAAUAAGCUGGACUCAUAUAUAUAUAUAUAUGAGUGAGGCUACUAUGGCUAUCAGAAGCACGGAGCCUCCGUGCUUCAAUCCGUUUCGAUGUUGGGCACACUUUCGAAUACGUGCGAUCGGUCCGUUAAUAACUUGAUCUAAGAGUAAUUUAAGUACCCUAGAGAAAUAAACUUUUAUGAUUUUACCGAUAGUUCAUUGCCUAGUGAAUGAAGGGUGCUUAAAAUCAACGGCUUGAAAAUAAAAAUCUACAAAAUAGUAAUAAUAUGACAUUAAAGGUUUAUAAGAUUUUAUAAUAGCAUAAAAGAAUUUCUAUCAAAAUCACGUGAUAUGGCAGGCCAGUAACCUUGCAAAGCGGCUCACUACAACAUAUUGAAAUUUGUUGAUAUAUUCAGCACAAAUGAUAUCGAAAAAUAAAAAAUUUAUUUUCUGUACUCCAAAUCACUCUAGAUCAAUCUUAACGAGCCGAUCGACGAAUCGAAAAUCGCAACAUGCGAAGAACAAAGCUGGAACACGGAAAGUCCGUUGCUUUACCGAUAGCGAUAGUAGCCUCACUCUAUAUAUACUACUAUUAUAUAAUACAUUUUUGUUUAUUUUGGGUGAGCUAGAUACUUAUGCAAGUAAUACCCCAUGCUGCUUAAUUAGGUUUUUAGCCAUUGGCAUCUACUUCUUAAUUAACUAAUAGUCCUUGGAUCAAACAACUGAUUCACCUACCAAUCAACGUACCCAUCAUCAACAUCACAUCUCUCCAUGCGCAAAGGUGCUUAAAACUAUUAAAGCACUCACCUAAUUGGCUUUUGAGAGAUUCUAGUUCAACUAUAUAUAUAUAAUAUAUAAUAUAUAUAUAGUUAAUAUAUAUAUAUAUAUAUAUUAUAAUAUGUUGAGCUGGGCUAUACUAUUAGUAACAAAAUUCUAUUGAUGGUGCUCUCCAGUUUUUAGCGCUAUUGAAUAAUUUUUUCAUUAUUUCUAACCAUUGGAUGAAAUACUAUAAUCAGUGAAACACUAGGAACUACAGGACCACUCAACUCUAACGAUUAACCAUCAUCCUUCUACAAUUGUUUCAUCCGAAAGGUAAACUGAUAGCAAAAAAGUGUGUUCACUAUAAUAAAUUAUCAGUCCUAAUUCAUAUAAUAUAUAUAUAUAUAUAUAAUAUAGUAUUAUAUAUAAUAUAUAAUAUAUAUAUAUAGUAAUAUAUGAGAGAAUUCGGAUUAUUGGGCUAACAUUAGUACACAACAUCCAAUCAUGCUACACCUAGUUUUUAAGCCCUUUAUAAUCAACUCUUUAUUCAUUAUUUUAACCCCAUUGAUUAAAUAGCUAUAACCGCAGUAGGUGACUACUCAAGCCCUGGGAGGAUAACUUAACUCUAAUCGAUAAAAUAUACUGACCUAAACAGAUUUUUUCAUGCCUAAGAAUUAAAAACUUGAUAAGCAAAAAGACAUUUACUAUGUAAAUUUGCAACAGAGGCCAAAUUAUUAUAUAGAGUAGAGCUGAAUACUUGUAAAAGUAUUCACCAAGUGAUACUUGUUGUUUUAGCCCUUGAUGAGUAGAGUGAGGUUGAGAUGAUGGUGGUAAGUGUGGCUAGGAAUCGGGGAGUGAUAGUGUUUGAUCCACAAAGCUAUUAGUAAUCAAAAAGUAGAUUCAAUGGCUAAAAACAAACAGUAUCACUUGGGUGAUACUUGUAAAGUAUUCUAGCCGCUACUCACAUAUAUAUAUAUAUAUAUAUAUAUAUAUAAUUAUAGUAUAUAUAUAAUAAUUAUAGGAAAUAUGCAAUAAAUAAAUUUUAAUCUAUGACGUAUGUUCUUAGUUGCUUUACGCGGCACAAACACGCUCGUGCACUUGUCCAGUUUUUAAGCACGUCGGACAACAAUUGAUACAAUAAGCAAUUGUUCCGGAAAACCGCUUUCAAAAGAGUCCGCAACUGACCAAUAUCCACGUACAUAUGACAUGUGUCAAUAAUCCACAUCCCUCUGAAGAGUAACUACAAUAAAGUCGCAUUAAUUACAUUUUUGUUCUCUCGUCCCUUUAUUCUCCUUUUUCUUUUUUUCUCUCUCUUUCCUUCCUUUCUUCCUCCCUUCGGCAUCGAUCGAUAUCGCACAGCGAUAUGGGGAUUCUCUCUAACAGGUUGAAUUUUCCUAUUUUUUGUAAAAUUUUUGUUUCGAUUUAUUCGGCACAUGAACGAUGUUUUGAAAUUUGUGAUUCGAAAAAUUUCUUAAAAUUUGAUUUUAAAAAUGUGUAGGAUCGGGAGGAGAGAGCUUGAAAGCGGGGGAUCACAUCUAACUCAUGGAGAGCAGCGUACGUUUAUCGCAUCAUGGUUGAGAUUUUUUUUUUUUUUUUGGUUCCCAAUUGGUAGCUUAGUGCCUAAGCUAUCUAGAUUUUUGGUAUUUGAAAGUAAUUUAACCAUUUGCGUAUUGUGAUUCUUAAGAAUUUGUUUAUAUAUUUAUUGGAUUGGAGAUGAGAAAUGAGGCAUUGUCAAGUGGGCAAUGCGAGUAUAUAAUGUCGUAUACAAUGCUAAUGUUGUUGUCUUGUUCAAGGUGAUUAUCGAUUGUUUCACACAAUUUUACUUCUCUUACUCUUGUUUUUUUUUUUUUUUUUUUUUUUUUUGGUAAACAUGUGUAGAACUUUUCAGACCAUUUUGUUUUGACUAUCCGACAUUUCAAAAUUUUGAUUUUAGUACCUAUUUUUUUUAUUUUGUUUGAUAUAAGUAAUUUGAUGGCUCUUUAGAUAUAAAAUUUAAGCUAAUUGUUUAUUUUAAUAAAUUCAUAGUUUCAUAAAUUACAUAAAAUUUAUUAACUAAACUUGUAAAGAAAAACGAUGCCUUCAGUUAAUGUUUUGGACAAACUUUUAAUACAAUUAAGGUCGAACUAUGAACUUGCGUAAAAUUUUGAUUUAUGAUUCUCGGAGGAUAAUGUCUCAUCGUUAUCUUUCAACCAUAGUUUGUACCUUGCUGUAGCUCUUAGAUCAUUUCGGUUGCAUGGAACCAAGUAGGAACGCGUGACAAGGUUUUUUUUUCUGUGGUUAAAGAUUAAGUAGACAAAAGUUUUUUUUUUUGUGCUUGAAUUCAAGUGCUGGACAACUUUGUUAAAUUUAGUAGAUGAUAGUUCUAAAACUCUCUCUACUCUUCUCAAGUGACUGGGUUAGUUUUUACGGAGUGCUUGAUGGUCGUAAAUUGUGUAGAGUAAAACAAGAUUUAAUGUUGAGUUUCCGUUGUUUUAGUGUCUUUUUAAAAUUCCAAGAUGAUAGUCAGUUGAGUAGCUUACGAGGAUGUCAUACUAGCGAUAACCAUAUUUCUUAUGUUCUGCAUCUGUCUUGUUUUUUGGGUAACUUGCCUACUAGUCUGUGAACUUUAAGUUUUA
rnacentral:lncRNA from 1 species